rnacentral:lncRNA from 1 species
AUCCUUCAUAGAUGGUCUUAAACAUUUUGUUUGAUAUAUUUGGGAUUUGUGCUGUGAUUAACUUUAAUUCCUUAUGAUUCAAGAAAAAGUGAUUCUAGUAAUAUGACAUUUUAUAUAAUACGUGCUAAAAUAUUAUUAAAAAAUUCACUGAAAGUAUUGAAAUUCGUGUACCUGUAUGAAGGCAUUGUCCUGAUUAACUAAUGGUUUUAUAUUUGAUGUCUUACAGGAAGUCGAAGUAUUGAACACGGUGUUGUAAACUCAUUCAACAACGAAGGCAAUGGGUUACAGGACUUCAGCAAUUCAACAAUCAUAGUUGGAAGUUGUAGCUGUACCUCAACUUGUGUGCAACUGAAGACUCAUCAAACUGGUUUGAUUAAGAAAAACAUUGAAACUGUAUGAGACAUGUUAAACCUUUAAGAUGAGGCCAUAAUGUUUUCAAACAGUUAUUGACUGAAGAACCCUUUGGAAAACAAAGUAGCCAUUAGCCAAUAGGGUUGAAGAAAGCUCAAUUUUUGGAAAUCUUUCUAUCAUGCUGAUAGUUGAUUGUAUUUUGGCACUUUAGAUGAACUUGGUAGUUGAGUGGUCCCCAGAAGCAGGACCAAUUUGUAUUUUGAUUAUUUAAAGUGACACCAAUCUUCUCUCACAUAGAAGGCUCCAAGAGUUGGUUCCACCACUUCUUUGAUCUCGGCUUAGGGCACUUCUGGUUCCAUUAAUUAAGGGUUAGUGUGGUUCUGUUCUACUACAAUUAUGUCUUCUUAGUCUGUUGGACUGAGAACCAGAAUGAAGUGUAACACUACAUUCAAUGCCCACUUACUAAUCAUUACCACAUUUUAUAUCUUGCAAGAAGGAAGUCAUUAGAAACUCAUUCAAUAAUGAGGGUAACGCCAACCAAUAUUUUCACAACACGACAAUCAUAAUUCUUGUAUGAAUUUAAAGUUUCAUUUUUCUGGUCAUGGCAAACUUUUUUUUUAUAAAACCCAAGGAAAAAUAUAAUUUAUUUUUUUUACAGUGAUCUAAACUUUGUUUCUGAAUAGUAAUUCAGUCUCGAAAAGUUAUGGUUAGUUUAUUAAGACUGAUCUUAAAAAUUUCUUUAAUGUUCUCUUGAUUUCAUAUUCUCCUCAGCUUAGUCUUAAUACAAAGUUCUUUAUCUUUUUUUUUCAUAAUUAGUACUCCAAAAAAUAGUUUGAAUUUUUAAGAAGAUAAUUAAUCCUUCAUAUCCCAUGUUCUCUUAGCUCUGUUGUAAAUUGAACCUAAAACGCCAAAAUGAAGAGAUAUUGCAAAAAAAGGGCUGUGAACUCUAAAUCCACGUCUGCAAAGUUGAAAGAGAAACGAAAGGGAGUUACUCAUAAUUUCCUUUCUUUCUCGAGUGGUUCAGAGAACGUUGUGGAACGUUUCAAGAGCCACUACGAGAAAAUCAUGAAAUAAAAAUCAAUUUUAGAGACAAAAUAAUUAGUUACUAUAGUGACUAAAUUAGAGACCAUUUUAUGGACUAAAUAAAUUUUUGGUUUCUAAAUUAGUUUCUAUUAUUGUUAAAUGGUUUCUAAAUUGGUAUCUAAUUAACAACCAAGGUUUUUGCUAUCAAAUUUAGAAACUAAAUAAUUGGUAGUUAAAACCUUGGUAGCUAAUUAGAUACCAAUUUAAAAACUAUUUAACAAUAAUAGAAACUAAUUUAGAAACCUUUAGUUUCUAAAAUGGUAUAUAAUUUAGUUACUAUUACAACUAAUUAUUUUUUGUCUUUAAAAAUUUGUUUCUAUUUGAUAAUUUUCUUGUAGUGGUCUCAGAUGGUUGGCUCCUCCAUUCAUGCAGGUCUUCCUCCAUCUCCAACGGUCGCUAAAUUUCGGCGGCCUAACAAUGUCACUAAUCUUGGUUUUGAAGUUGGGGCAAUUUAGUUUUCUCCAUCAAUAAAUAACGCCUCCCUUUGCUCUGAAAAUCAUCUCUCACUCACGCUUCUUAUUUUUUUUCUCUUCCUCUCUUACUCUUCACUCAUUUAUUAUUUUAUUUUACUUUAUAAUUUUUUGGAUUUGUUGGGUUCUUACUCUUUUAAGAGUAGUUUGCUAGUUCUGAUUCUUGGAAAUUUUCUGUUGUAUCUUGAAAGACUUGCACAAUACACCACAUAUAAGUUCUUUCAAACAUUGAUCACUCACGUCUCGGAAAAUCAACUUUUGAUAAUGUUUUAAAGUGUCAUUUACCACAAAUUAUUUGCACAUCUUGUAUGAAUUUAUUUCAUUAGUCAUGAUCAUUUAAGUAAUUUCUUCCCCGAAUAAUGUGAGAAAAUGAUCUUCACCACUUUAAUUAAGAUGCUACACAUUUUCCUUUUAUAAAUUGGUUAUAAUUAUUAUAAUGACAAAUUAUAUUAUUACAAAGAGAUAAUAUGUUAUUAUGUUGCAUAAACUUAAUAUGAUUUAUUAUGCAUUAGUAUUAAUUAUGAUUUAAAUCUCAUUUCCAAUCAUUAUUAUUUAGGAAUAGUCCUUGAAAAAUUGUAGUGGAAGUUUUAUGAAUGAUAAUAAAAAAAAUGUAAAGGAGCAAGUUAUUUAUUUGAAAACUAAUUAUACAAAAAGAAGUUAAAAAUGAAUACUUCAUUAAUUAUAUGGGCAUUUAUUAUUCUGAUAUUUUUUAAUUUGGAGAUUUGCUAAGAUACUUUGGAACUAAUUCAAUUAUAAGGGAGAUUAGAAUGAGAAAGCGUUAAACCUACAGGUGGGAGAAGUUGCCACAGAUGAAGAGCUUGUGAGUGGAACCCAUUUUUUGUUUGUUUUGGAAUAUGCAUUUGUUUGUCGUUGGACUAAUAUGCAUUUAAAAAUUCAUUCACAAGUGUCUAUUUCCUAAUUUCUAUUCAAGAUGCAAAAUAUUUGAGUGUGUUGUGUCUCGCUCUGUGUUGUGUUCGUUAAAAGAAAUAAGGAAAAUGAUAUAAUGACAAUCUUGUUCCAGUAUACAAUUCUAUUUUUUUAUCUAAAAUUUUAAUUUUUAUAUGAAAUGAUAAAAAUAUUUUUUUUAUAUCAUAAAUAAAGAGUUGUAGAGUGGGGCUUGUCCAUCUAUCAUUGCUCAAGAAAUAAAGUAUUUUUGUGUACACAAUGAUUUUGGCAUUAAUGGCUACAUUCUUUUCUACCCAAUGGAGCUACACUUGUGCCCUUGAUGUGUGGUAUCGCAUUCACUGCUUCAUCGUUUUCGGUAACUUGUUUUCUCUUUCUAAAGAUUAUAAAACGAAAAAGAUACGCCCAAUUAUGGAUGGCAAAGUGGUGGUACAAUAAGACCGUAUAACUCACUCUAUCUGAUAUGCAGAUUCAAUGGGUCACACAUGGGGAGUGGGGAAAUCUCUUUGUUCGGAUUUCUUUAUUUUUAUAUUUUUAUUUAUUGAAUUAUUAGUGAUAUUGAUUUUGUUUUGUUAGAUAUUUUUUUAUUAGAGCUUAAUUCUCUAUUUAGCACCAUUUACACUUUUAUUUUCCUAUCUAGCACCCUUUUGUUUUUAUUUUCCUAUCUAACACCCUUUCAAAAAUAAAUAAAUAAAUGUUAAAUUAAUUUUAUUUUAUAAUUUUAAUUUUGAAUACAUUAAAAAAUAAGUAUUUUUAAUGUUUAAAAUAGUUAGAAAUAUAAUUAAUGAAUAAAUAAAUGAGUUUUUACAAAAUAAAAAUAAAAAAGUAAUAAAUUAAAAAUGUUUAGUUUAAAUGUUUUUUUAAGAAUGAAGAAAAUAAAAAAUUAAACUCUAUAACAACAUAAAAGUUGAAUCUAUAAACAUAAAUUAGUAUUUAUUUUUAUUAUUAUUGAUGAUGUAAUCAUGUUAAUUUCAAGUAAAAAAUACAGGACAUAAUUAUCAAAAAAUCAAUAUUGAAAUGUCUAUCCUUAAUGCAAAAUCCUACAAAAAAAACUAAUGCAAUUGUUACACUUAAUGCUUAAAAAUGAGAAGAAAAAAAAUGUAAAAAUAAAUAAAUAUAGAAAAUAAAAACAACAACAUUGCAACAGAUUUUUCAUGAUACGAAAAACUAUUUGAUGGAACUCAUAAAUGAAGAGUAUUGACCUCCAUACACUGGUCAAAUACUAUGCCCAAGUCUCGACAUGAAAAUAACUUCAAAGGGAAGACUUAAGUCAAGUCGAAUAAGGACUGAUAUUGACAUAAGAGAACAACAUGAUCGAACAAAAAAAUGUUUAUAUUGUCAAACACCAGGACACACAUAAAGAACAUGUCCCAACAUUAUUGGAUUGUGUUUUUCUCGUCCUUAAUUAUGUUUCAUUUCGCACAAACUAUUUAAUGUACCAUUGAAGAAAAUAUUAAAUGAAUGAUCAUCUUUCAUGUAUUUUUCUUUUUAUAAUCAACAUCUACUUGUUUAGUAUCGCCUUAUGUCUCUUAUCUUUAUCUUGUUUGGAUUUUUUUUUUAUAUCUUGUAUAUUUAUCUUAUCUUGUUUUUCCUUUAUUUUAUAUCUUAUAUGUUUUUAGUUAUUAUUUUUUCUGUCAUUUUUUAUUUAUUUUUGUUUUUAUUUUAUUAUUGUUGUUUUUAUUUUCUAUACUUAUUUAUUUUUUCAUUUUUUCCUUCUUAUUUUUGAGCAUUAAGUGUAACAUUUGCAUUAGUUUUUUUUAGGAUUUUGCAUUUAGGGUAGACACUUCAAUAUUAUUUGUGUGUCCACUAUUAAUUAAUACUAAUUGACUUUGGUUUUUUUAUAAUUAUGUCCUGUAUUUUUUACUUGAAAUUAACAUUAUUACAUCAUCAAUAAUAAUAAUAAAAAUACUAAUUUAUGUUUAUAGAUUCAACUUUUAUGUUGUUGUAGGGUUUAAUUUCUUAUUUUCUUCAUUCUUAAAAAAAUAAUUUUAAACUAAACAUUUUUAAUUUAUUACUACUUUUUUUUAUUUUGUAAAAACUCAUUUCUUUAUUCAUUAAUUAUAUUUCUAACUAUUUUAAACAUUAAAAAUACUUAUUUUUUAAUGCAUUCAAAAUUAAAAUUAUAAAAAAAAAAAAUUUAUUAUUUAUUUAUUUAUUUUGGAAUGGUGCUAGAUAGGGAAAUAAAAAACAAAAGGGUGCUAGAUAGGAAAAUAAAAACAAAAGGGUGCUAGAUAGGGAAAUAAAAGCAAAAGGGUGCUAGUUAGAAAAAUAAAAGUGUAAAUGGUGCUAGAUAGGGAAUUUACCCUUUUAUUAGAGUAUUAAAGUUUAAUUAAUUUUUUUUAUGGUUCAAAAAGUAAUUUAGGGGACUACAACUAAGUAAAUAGGUCUAAAAUAAAAAUAAAAAAGUAGCUGGAGAGUUCACCAACCCUUCAUGGAUCACCAAUUUUAAUCCAUAUAACUUAGAUAGAUUAAUCGAUUUAUCUCAUUUUUUAUGAAUCAGACCAAAACAUACAAGUCACCCCGUUUUGUAAAUCUUACACCAUGACAUCAUUCAAUUUUAUAGGUCUUUGUUUUAAAUUAUUUAAUUUUAAAUAUUUUGUUAGAUAACUAAAUUUAAAUUUAGUAAAUUUUAUUCUUAUUGUUUGAAUAAAAUAUUUCAAUUAUAUUAAAUUAAAAAAAAAAAAUUAAAUAUUACAAUUAAAAAAAUAUUAAUAUUAAUAUUAAUAAUAUUUUGUAGUGAAUUUUAAUUGAUGUUGUUUUUUUUUAAUUAAAGUUCGUCAAGAUUUUUCAUUUGAUAUUUGUAAAAAAAUUAUCAAUUGAUGUUAUGACAUUGUUUCACUUGGAGUACAAUUAUUUAGGAUGACUUUUGAUGAAAGUUUUUUUACCAUGUUUACGGUUGGGGAUUUUUCCCUAUCUUUUUUAUAUCAAUGUGAGCUGAAAAAAUUUCACUAUUUUGACAUUGGUAAAACAAAACAAUCUUAAUUAAUAUUUAGGUUAAAGUUUAGUUAAUAUUAAAAAAAAAAUUCUUAGCAAACUAUUGGAAAAAAUCUCUAUUGAUGAUGAAAAAUCACUGCAAAUAUUGAUAAAAAGAAAUAAUCAUGAUAGAGAUUUAUUGAAAAAAUAUAAUUCACCUCCCUAAAAAAAAUAUUUCCGACAAAUAAAAUUUUAACUAAACAAUGAAUUAUAUUGUUCUAGAAAAAAUUCUAACAAACUUCUAUAAAACAACUCCAAUCACAUCAAUAAAAAGAAUUUAUAUUUGACAUUAACCAAAAAAUAAUAAUCUUAAUUAAUAAUAUUUCAAUCUUAGUCAAGCUAAUAACACCCUAAUUAAAAUCAAAAUAAGAAAAAACAAUGAAGAUCAAAACAUGAAUUUGAGUAUAUGAAAAAUUUAAUAUUUUUUCCUAAAUUAAAAUAUGAAAUUCUAUAAUUUUAAACAAUCAAAUUACUUUAAAAAAAUUAAAAUUAAUUUCUUGUUAAAUUUUUUAUCCAAACAACAUAUUUUAUCACAAAACAUUUAAAAUUUUCUGAAAAAAUAAUUGUGUUUUUAAAAUUUCUCGCCGAAACACACUAUUAAUGUAUAGCAAGAAAUGGAAUGUUUUGAAAAUAAAAUUUUCUGUAAGUUUUCUUCUGCAUUAAAAUUCCAUGGUUAGGCGUUAUUUUUUUCCUGACAAAACUCUGGAGUCAUCAUUUGUGACUUUUAUAAUUAAUAAAAGUGCUGAAUUACUAAUUGGGCUGGACUCUAGAACAAGCGGUAUUGUUUUCAGCCCAAUUAGUCUAAAUCCUCGUUUUGCAUUUUUAUACCUCCCUUCCUUUCACUUUUUUGUCAAUUUUGAUGGAAACUAACUUCUGUGAUAUAAUUCUUUUAAUAGAUUGUGAAAAAUACAUUCUUCAAAGUGGUGUUUUCAAAAAAUACAUUUUAAAAGUAAACGGGCAACGCAAAAAAAAAAAACAGAAAGAAAGAAGUUAACAAAAUCAACGUAAAUAGUAUAGGCCUUUUUUAUGCGUAGAUAAUGAAAUCCAUCUUAAUACCCAAUUCCAUAGCCACAACGCUAUGAGCUGUCUUGCUUAAAAUAAAGGAAAAAAGACAAAUUCUCUUUGCACCUCCAUACUGCAUCUUUAUAUUUUUUUUUAAUUUAAGAAUACCUUUCUAAGUAUGGUAGAAAGUGUUGGGUAUUCUUCUUUAUUUUCUAGUGGUGGUGGUUACUUAAGGUGAUUGGUGAUGAAUAUUAGUGAUUGAGCUAAGUUUUAUGUUGUUUUUACUAGUGGUGAUGGUGUUUUUGUUCCAUUAUUUAAUUUUUCAACUUUUUUUGAAGCCACAAAACCAAAAAAAGAACAACAAGGUGCAAAAAUGAAGUGAAAUAUUCAAAAAAGAGUUUAUCUUUGCAUUGGAGAAUGUUAAAUACAAUGAAUCUUCUCGCCAAGACUCUUACACUCAAAUAAUGAAAUUAUUCUCUCAAACGCUAUGACUGGAAAAUAAUGAAAGUGUUGCGACCAAAAGGAUACAAGGGUGCAAGAAUGCAAAUGAGAUUAUUUAAAAAUGUAAGGUUAUGCUUUAUUUAUAAUUUUUUUAAAUUUUUUUUAGAAAAAUUUAAAAAUAUUUUUCACAAUUAAUAUGGAGGUGUGAGAUGUACGGAAAUUAAUAAAUUUUUUUUUCUUAAUUAUUCUUGAAUUAUUAGAAUUAUUAUUAUUGUUCUCUUUUUUUAGUUUAACUAACAUUUAUUAUUAAUUUUUAGUUUGUAUGAAACAACAUUAAAUUACAUUUUGUAGGAGAUAGGAACAUAUUAACCUACCUGUACGGGUGUUGAUAAUAUAUAUUCUCUCCUUUAUUGAAUAUAGUUAAUAUAUAUUCUCGUCAAAACUCGAGCUCGAAUGCUUAGAUGUUGUAUCCGAGACAAUUCCUUUACAACUGUAAGGUUUGAGUGUUUGGAGGUCGCACUGAGAUGAGGGGAGUUCUAUUUGUUGACAAUAUUUUGACGAUCAAGUUAGUGAAAACUCGAGCUCGAAUGCUUAGAUGUUGCAUCCAAGACAAUUCCUUUACAACUACAAGGUUUGAGUGUUUGGAGGUCGCACCGAGAUGAGGGGAGUUCUACUUGUUGACAAUACUCUAACAAUCAAGUUAGUGAAAACAUAAAAAUAUCAAUGUAGUAUGUAUUGCAUAGAAUAAUAUUCCUCUUAUUUUUUGGGGUCAUCCUCUAUUUAUAGAAUUUUUCAUCAGAAUAAUAUCACAACAUAUUUAAAUAAUAACAAGCAUAUCUUUUAUGUUCAGAAUAAUAUCACAACAAAUUAAAUAAUAACAAUCAUAUAUUUUCUUUUAUCGAUAUAACCCGGACAGUACACAAUAGUCUAGCCUCAAGCCGAGCGAGCGAGGUGAUGAGGUUAUAGUAAAUAUUCACAUUAAAAACCUUUGCAUUAAAAGUGGUUUUGCACGUGACUCAAGGCAUUAUAUCACAAGACGUGGAUUUGUUAGUUAUUAAUGCAGUCCGAUCGUAGUCGUCGACCAAGUUAGUCCACCCGUACAAAUGUCGUUGACCAACUUAAUUCAAUCUUAGGAUUUGGCCAAAUUGGUUUGCCCGAGAAAUGUCUUUGAUCCACUUGGUUUGAUCUUAGGAUUCAACCAAGUUGGUUCGUCCAUAGAAAUGUCGUUGACCCACUUGAUCCGAUCUUAGGAUUCGACCAAGUUGGUCCGCCUAUAGAAAUGUCGAUAACCCACUUGGUUCGCUCUUAGGAUUCUGUCAAGUUGGUUCGUCCGUAGAAAUGUCGUUGACCAACUUGGUUCGAUCGACAUUCCAGAAUUUUCCCAUUUUCGCUUGAACAAAAUUUCAUUUUGUUUGAGCGAAAAUGGACUAAAAAGUACUUUAGAAUUGUUAUUUUAUUAAAUAUACUAGACCAAAGUAAUAAUUUCCCUGCUAGAGUUAGAUAGUUACUCUAAAUCAAAAUCACACCACCAAUACUUAGCAACAUUAUCCUUUAAGUAAUUCAUCAAACUAUUUACAUUCAUUCAUUUACUUAUUCACAUCAAAACAAUAUAAUUUUAUAACAUCUACCAUGUCUAAAAUUUCGCAUUCUAAUCUCAAUCAAAUUCUAACAUACUCAAAAUAACCAAUCAUGCAAGAAAUUUUGAGACUGGUGACCACGUUACCUCUACAUCCAGAUAUUCUAGCGUAGGGUUCUAUUUGAAAUUUGAAACUAGCUUCCCUUACCUGAACUUGAGCAAAUGUUCACUAAGAGCUCCAAAUCCUAUAAUUCUUCUAGGGUAACUUAACCUCACCAUAGAGUCUUGAUAAAAAUCUAACUACAUCAUUAUGACCUUGACAGAGAUUAAUUAUGAAGAUAAAAGUAUUACAUGCAAGCUUAAACUAAAGGCAAACCUAACGAGAUAAAAAAGAACUCAAAGAAAAAUGAGUCAAAAUGAACUUAAUUUAUUUAAAAAUUUGACAAGGUAAAUCUUAUACAGUUUACUACCAAGAGUUCAAUGAUAGACUCCGAUUAUUGAUAUGAUGAGCAAGGAUGUUAAAAUCUAAGAGAAAAAAGAGAGAAAAGAAAAAAUAAUUUUUUUUAAAUAAUGAUCCUUUUAAAAUAACACCCGAAUAACUGAAUUUUUAUAUUUAUAUAGACUUUUUACUUUAAUAAUAAAUAUUUCGGUGUCAUUUUAAUUAUCAUUUCUUCUCUAAAAUUAAUUUUCUCAGUACUUACAACAAAUAUAUUUACCUUAAUAAAUACACAAAAGAAAAAGAAAGAUUAUAAAGCUAGAAUUUUGUAUUGAUGAGUUUUUGUCCUUCUUCAAUCAUCCAUUUUAACUAUAUCUUUAAAUUAAAAAUUGCUAAAGUAAAUUAACUCAACCAGUUUCAAAUUCUUAUAAUAACUUACCGAGCACUCUUAUUAUAAUUUACAAUUUUUCAUUUGUUUUUAUAGAAAGAAGAAAAAACAGUGUCUUGAAGAAUAGCUAAAGGAAAUAGUUUUCUGCUUCUUUUUUUUGUUUUAAAAUUUGAAACUUAAUAUUGUUAACAGCUUUUUCCUCUAAACAAUUUCCAAAAUUAUGCCCAUUUUUUAAGAUUAUGGUAGAGUAAGAGCAUCACCAAACUAUUAAGUCAGAUAUACUUCUUUAUCAUGCUUGGUUUUAUUAUUAUUAAUACUAUUAUUUUAUAAUUAUUAUUACUUUAUUUUAUUAUAAUUAUAACUAUUUUAUUAUAAAAUAAAGGAUUAUAAUAAAAUAAAGUAAUAAUAAUUAUUUUAUUAUAAUUAUAAUAAAAUAAAACAAUUAUAAUUAUAAUAAAACAAAAUAACUUAUAAUAAUAAUAAUACUGAUAUAAACUGGUUUAGUAAUUUUGAUGAUAUUCUCAUUCUAUGAUGAUCUUAUGUUUGACUUUUAUUUCUUUAUUUAAAAAUUUAGUCUAAAUGACAAGGGUCUGUCCUGUUUAUUAUAAUGGUUUCGUGUUAUCUUUUAUUUUAUUAUAUUAAAGUUAAUUAUCUUAUAAUGGUUUUUUUAUCAAAUAAAAUAAAAUAUAAUACAAUUGUGAUUAUGUUAAUUAUUUUAUAUAAUUAUAUAUAUUAAAAUAAUUUAAUUAUCACUACUACUGUCCGAAAAGAAGGAAGUUUACAGGUUUAAUUAUUAAUGGACAAAAUGUUACUCAUUUCUUUUUGUGUUUUUGAAGUUUCAUAUAUUAAAUUUUUAAUAUGAUAUUUAUAUUUAAAAAAAUAAUUUUAAUUCUUUUAACUAAGACGUUAACUUCAAUAUAAUAUUUUGUGAUUAUUUUGAAAAUUUCUAUUUUAGUCCGUAUUAAUUAAAACCUUAAAAAGACUAUUAGACAAUCAAUUUUCUGAAUAUAUUUAAUAUGUGUUGAAAUAAAUCAAAAAGACAUUUUAAAAAAUAUAAAGUAAAUUUUAAAAAAAAUUGUGCACUGGGACACAUAAUUCCCAAUUCACCGACACAUUUGUAGGAACUGAACAUAGUGGUACUCUACUAUUUCCUCUUUAACAGAGCUACUGAUACCUACAGGUUAACAUGCCUUGUCUAUUCUCCUCCAUCUUCGGAAAAGCACUGACCUUUAUGAGAAAAAAAUUGUGAAAAGAUGGUGAUACUCAUAUAAAUUUUUGUAUGAAUUUUACAGAAAUAGUAUAUGCUUCAAUAACUUGGCUUUGACCGCUUGCACGUUCUUAGAGUAUAUUUUACGCCAUUGGUCCACCUGUGCCCUACUGUUGUUGGUUUUAGUAUUAGAAUAUUCUGUACUUGUCUCUCCUCUUUAAAUACAUGAAAGAAGAUUUAGAAAGUGUGAAUCUAAAAAUAGAUUCCUUCUUCUAUCAAAAAAGCUCUCUUCUUCUGUUAAUUUUUCAGUUUUUGAUAUAUGUCAAACCAGCGGAUGUAAAGUGAUGAAUUCAUUCAACAACAACAAUCAGGACAAUGGCACUCAGAACUUCACUAAUGCCAAAAUCAUAAUUACUGGAGGUUAUUGCUGUUGCUGUACUUCGUUUGAUUUGCAUGGUAUCAUUAAACUAAACAAAUACUCUGUUUUUUUUUUUGUCUGUAUUAGGUCUUUCUCAGGUACUGGUCUCUCAAUCAAGACUUCGACGAAUUCCCCUUCACUUCUAAGUCACUAUUCCCUAACAACAUUUUUAGAUUCUCCAUAGCCACUUUCCACUGUUUACUACAAAGACAGUAAUGGAAGCUUCUUCCACCGGAUCCAAUUCCAGUGACGUCUUUGUAUCUUCUCCUUUUGGGUGUCAACUAUUUUUCCAAGCAGAUUAGAUCUGAACGUCUGUGCCUUAUUUUGUGUUCAGCACCAGGUCUCAAGUAUUUAUGCAAAAAGUCCCUUAAACGUCAAGUAAUUUACAGUGUUUAUACUGUCAAGAAGCGCUGCAAAAUAUACCGUGAUAUUUUUGGUCUAACACAGUGACUAUACUCAUAGCCGCUAUCCUACACUCAUUUUUUACAUUAAUUCAAAACACGUUACUUACGCUCGUAUCUUCUUCUUCGCGCGCGUUUUCCUUUCUUUUUUAUCUUUUGAGGUUUUUGUAAGUUUCUCUCAUUCACUCACUUAUUCUUCUGCAUCCUCCAUUGCUUUUUUUUUUCCUCUUAUUAUUUAUUUGUUUCUGCAUCUUAUUUUGUUUCAUUGUUUAGGGUUUCCUUGUGCCUCCAUUGAUCUUCAUCGUUGCUAGUCGUCUCUGCUCUUCACCACCACCACCUUCACGUACAAGGUUGGUGGUAUUUUUUUAUAUUUUUAAUCAUUGUAAAAUUUAUUUAAAAUAGGUAGAAAGUGAUUUUUAUUCAAUUUUUUUGGAAAUUUCAUUUAGAAUAUAUUUGAUGGAGGAGUCCUCACAUUGAAGAGAAAAGUGAUAGAUUUGGAAUCGUCAAGAAGUAGUGUGAAAAUGAAAGUUGCUCGAGAUGAGAAGACAAGGCCCUUGGCCAAUACCCAAAGGGAAUUGAGUUCACUAAAAAUUCCAAAAAUCCAUCAUUUACUAUUAUUUAUUUUAUUUUUUUUUUGUAUUAUUUAGGUCUUUUUUAAAGUUUAGGAGGUUUUAGUUCUCAUACUUAUACUAAUAAAAAAAUUCUGAAUUUUUUUAUUUAUUUUUUCCAGUAUAAAUUAGUGAUUUAUCAAUAGUGUAUGAGUUACAUAAAUAAAUAGGAAUAUGUUAUUAUAGUGUUUGUAAUACAUUUUAUCAAUGUAUAUAAUUUGAUUCUUUGAAUAUAUGUAUCUAGGCUAACUGAGUUUUAAUUGUACGAGUUACUUUAGAUGGGAUUAGUAUUAAAAAGAAUGAACUAAAAAAAUAAAAAAUAUUCAUCUAAAAUGGUGGUUAUGGUAAAAUAAUCGUUGUUUUAAACCUUUCAGGAGAAUCUAAAACGACAGCUUUUACUAUAGUCAUAUUCUUUACUCUGGAACAUAAGACUGUGUGCUGAUCAACAACGGCUAGGAAAUCGUCGUUUUAAGGUUAAAAUAGCUGCCGUUUUUAACUAUUUUUGCAGUAGUGGAUGAAUAGAAUCUUCAUAUGUUCUCAUGAGCUGGUGCUGUAAUUCACAAGGAUUCUUAUGUUGAAGCUAUGCGCAGGAUAUAAACAAAUUAAGGAUAAAAGUUAAAGAGAUAUAAACCAAGUUCUCUUAUGUCUGUAUUAAGGAGGAAGCGUGAAAGAUAACUUCUCACCCAAAUUUCUCUAGAAUUGUUAACUUUACAUGUAUAUUGAGGUUUCCCAAAUUCUUCUUAGGGUCCAAAACAAUUUGUUUGAUGUAUUUGGGAACUUUGUUCUGACUCCUUUGGAUUUGAUUUAUCUUCCUUGAGUAUGCAUAUCUAUAUGUUGUUUUCUUAGGCAUAAGACCGUCAGAGUAACAAGAGAAUACAUAAAUGAGAUCUUGAAUUCUCUGGACAAAAUGCGUGUUACAGGGCAAUAUGAAUUAGCUUUUUUGGUUUCUAAAUUAUCUUGGGAUUGGGGUUUCAGUAACCAACAUGAAAUAUGAUACACUUAUACUUCAAUCUGUGUCAAAUACAAUACUUAUCAUUGAAGUAUCUAUAAAGUAAUAAUAUAUCACUUAUAGUAUCCGCUUAUUUUCAAAAUAAGCGUACCGUAUUCAAUACACAGUAUCCAUGCAAUAUGUAAAUCAUGCAAUAUGGUUUAAUAUUAAAUUUAAUGCAACAGAACUAAUUGCUUAACUAGUUGAAAAAAACAGUAAUUUAAUUGUUUGACAUGGUGUUGCAGGUUCUUUAGGAUUUGGCCUCUUAAAGUUCCAGGUUUGCGACAGGAUUUAUAAUUUUGAAUUGGAUUGCACUCUCUUCAGAAUCUGUGGAGCUUUUACGUGCCAAUCAAAGUUUGAUCCACAAGUAACUAAGAAUUCAGUUGUUAAUACAUCAAGUAAUUUACCUGUAAGUACUUUCUUUCACCUUGGACUCUUUAAUCCCUUAUCUCAGCCAUAACUGAUUGGGACCUUGGCCUUGUGAACCCAAUAAAGUUCUCUUUCUUGUGAGACUAUUUUAGUGUACCAAAAUCGUAACCAAGUAGCUAGAGGGCCUACAGUCCUUGUUUAUGGGCUAUUUUCUGUUUUAAUAUAUACUUGAAAACCAGUUAUGUAUUUCGGCAUUGUGCUGAGUGUGAAUCCAAAUUAAUUGAGUACGUUAAAUUUUAUAUUGUUUAUUUUCUGAAGUUGAUUCGUUGGUUUGGGAUGUGAUAUGGUUGUUUCCCUUAUGAUUUUUGUUCUCCAUUCCCGUGGUAAUGAUCAAGAUAGUUCUGUUUUCCCCGGUAUAUUUAAGUAUUGUGAAUUUGGACAAGGGAAAACAAAAUUGUUUCGUGGCAGGACAAGAUGAAUCUAAAAGUUGAAUUUUUCUUUAAAUAAAAUUUAUUCUAAAUACUUCGUGAUGCAGAAAAUGAAUGGACUUAGUUUCCAGAUGUGUUCAUGUUUAACAUCAAAAUAUUCACAGAUAGCUUUGAGAUCUGUUUUUUUUCCUAAUUUGAUACUUUAUCUCACCUGAUAUUGUUAUUCUAAAUGGUUAAAAUAUGAUAAAUUGGUAAUAUACUUUAAAAAUGUUUUUAGUGAUUGUUCUAACAAAUAAAUCUUAGGGUCUUCAUUCAUUUUUUUUUAUUGAUUUUGGUUUUGAAAGUCAUAUUUAAGACUUUUUUUUUUACUUUGUUAAUUUCUUUACUAAAGGUUAAGAUUUUGAUUUUUUUUCUAUUUUAUUUUCCAUGUCUAUUGAUUUAUUUUUUCUAUUAUUUUGUUGAUUUUAUUAAUUUUAUCUUAAUUUAAUGAUAUAGGAUCAUGAUUUCUUGAAUUAGGGUUUAUUAAUUUACUUCUAAAUUUGUUUCCAUAUUAUUAUUUUACCUAUUUGUCAUUACUUGAUUAUGAUAGAACUCGAUCCACAUAAUAUUUUCAUUCCGUAAUACACUGUAAUGAUAGAUUGAUUCCUACUUAUCAGUACAUAGUCUUCUAGUCUUAAACCCUAAAAUUAUUAGGAUUCAUCAGAACUUUACUACAAUAAUAUAUUAAAAAUAAUAUUACUUUGAGUACUUUUGAAUUCCCUCUAUAUGUUCGUGUAUUUUCUGGAUCAAGUACUCACUUACUAAUAAUUUUAUAUUUGAUGUUUCAGGAAGGCAAAGUAUUGGACCAAGUGCCAUAACAAACUCAUUUAACAACGAGAGUGAAGGCAGACAAGACUUCUCCAAUGCAACAAUCAAAAUUGAAAGGUGUAGUUAUGCCUCAACUAGUAGUGUCAGUGUCGGUGUGAUAGCAAGCUCAUUCAACAACAAGGGCAAUGGCAUCCAAAACUUUAGCAAUGCCACAAUCAUAAUCAUCGGCAACUGUUGUGGCUCACUUGGUUUGCAUGGUAUCAUAUUUUACUGCUUAUUCCUUAGAGUUCUUGUUACACUACUGCUUAUCCCAACUAGAGAUCAACAUCUCCAUCUAACAAUACUGGAUUCAACUUGAUCCAAGGUUGAGGUCAAUUCUCCUUCAAGGGGCACUGCACUCGCCAAUAACAUUCAUUUAUGAUCCUCCAUAAUCUUCUCACCUACCAUGUCUAUGUCUUCUACCACCAGAUUCAAUUUUCGCCACAUCUUUGUAUGUUCCUCUUUCACUCACCAUGCUGGUUUAUAUUCAAUUUUUCUAUUUAAAAUAUAUAUGAACAUGCAUGCUCUUGUUUUUGUGCUCAACACCAGAAUCUCCACGUACUAAAGAUCUACAUUGAGUGAAAUAGAAAACAAAAAAAGUAGAAAACUAUAGGAAUGAAGAGUUGAUGCAAUUUUAUUCUUAUAUAAAUUACAUUAGAAAGUUUGCAACAGUUUUAUCCUAACAAAAUAUUUCUCUUAAUUAUGGUCAAUAUAAGACCUGCGAAAGUGUGUUUUUAUCUUAUUGUAUGAUUCUCAACAUUUGUGAGAAUUCCAACUUUAUGUCAAUUUAUGCAUGAUAUAAAUGAAGGACAGAAAAUUCCCAACAUUUGUGAGGAUUCCAACUUUAUGCCAAUUUAUGCAUGAUAUAAAUGAAUGACAAAAGUUGGAGUAAAUAGUUUCAUUAUAUAUGUGGGUCCUGGUUUGAUUAUUGAUAUCUAGAAGAUACUUUCUAAAAUAUCUAACUAGGAAUAUUCAGAAGAUUUUAGUAGUUUUGCUUUAUGAUGAAAGGUGUAUUUUAUAGGUUAUGGAUGUUUUUCUUUUUUACUCUGGGAUGCUAUACAAUACCAUCUAUUCUUUAAAGUUAUUAAGUCUGUACUAUCUUUAAUAAAUUUCAAAUAAGGAGUUAUUCCAUACUCUUUUUCUUCUCUUUAGGAAUAUUCUGUUAGUUUUAUUAGAUUUGUAUAUUAAUGAUUAGUAUAUCAUAAGUGAGGUAAUAUGGAAAAUGCUUUCUCUACCAAAUUGCUAUCUUCAACUAUAACUCUUGACUUUAAUGCAAUGUCGCGAGGUACAUGUAUUGUAGUUUAUCCACCUCUGGAAGGUUCUUAAUACAUAUCUUUUGAGACCUGAUGUUGGGUUUCGGUAAUUGAGUCUGCAAAUGUGCUUAAUCCAUCAAAUUGUGCCCAAAUCCUUCAUAGAUGGUCUUAAACAUUUUGUUUGAUAUAUUUGGGAUUUGUGCUGUGAUUAACUUUAAUUCCUUAUGAUUCAAGAAAAAGUGAUUCUAGUAAUAUGACAUUUUAUAUAAUACGUGCUAAAAUAUUAUUAAAAAAUUCACUGAAAGUAUUGAAAUUUCGUGUACAUGUAUGAAGGCAUUGUCCUGACUAACUAAUGGUUUUAUAUUUGAUGUCUUACAGGAAGUCGAAGUAUUGAACACGGUGUUGUAAACUCAUUCAACAACGAAGGCAAUGGGUUACAGGACUUCAGCAAUUCAACAAUCAUAGUUGGAAGUUGUAGCUGUACCUCAACUUGUGUGGAACUGAAGACUUAUCAAACGGGUUUGAUUAAGAAAAACAUUGAAACUGGAUGAGGCAUGUUAAACCUUUGAGAUGAGGCCAUAAUGUUUUCAAACAGUUAUUGACUGAAGAACCCUUUGGAAAACAAAGUAGCCAUUAGCCAAUAGGGUUGAAGAAAGCUCAAUUUUUGGAAAUCUUUCAAUUAUGCUGAUUGUUGAUUGUGUUUUGGCACUUUAGAUGAACUUGAUAAUUGAGUGGUCCCCCAUAAGCAGGACCAUUUUGUAUUUUGAUUAUUUAAAUGCACAACAAUUUUCUUUCACAUAGUUGGCUCCAAGAGUUGAUUCCACCACUUUUUUUUGUCUUGGCUUAGAGUACUUCUGGUUUCAUUAAUUAAGGUUCAGUGUGGUUCUGUUCUGCCACAAUUCUAUCUUCUCAGUUGUAAUGAGAACCAGAAUGAUGUAUAACUCUAUUCUAUUUGUCUACGCUUCAAAGUUAGGUUUAUUAAGCACUACUUUGUUACAAAGAACUCCUGCUUCAAAUCAGCAGUUAUAUAUAGUUAUAUAUAUUUUUAAAAUUAUCAAAUAAGAAUUUAGAAUGAUAUUUUUUUUUCAUUGUGAGAGUGAAAUCGUAUUUUUAAAAAAAAAUUAUAUAUACAUUGUAACUGGUGUUUAAUUUUCUUAAAAAUAUUAAAUAUAUAAUAUUUUUUAAAUGAAACAAAUCUGCUACUUGAAUUUGUAUUAUUUUAAAAUGGAAUUUAGUUUUACUCUUAAGAAUAUGUUGAUUUAUAACAUUAUAGCAAAAACAUAAUAUAUUAAUAAUAAAAUAAUUAGAGAAGAAACAAAUUAUUUAUUACAAACUAAUUAUAAAAAUCUAAAAUAUUAGACAGUGCACUACAAGAAAAUGAUUAAAUGAUUAAAUGACAACUAAUUUAGAAACAAAUAAAAAAUAGUUUCUAUAGUAACUAAUUUAGAUACCAUUUCAUAAACUAAAAAUUAUUAGUUACUAAAAUGGUAUCUAUUAUUAAUAAAAAUUAUAAUAAAAUUUGAUACUACAUUUUUGUAGCUAAUAAUAAAUAAAAAAGUAAAAUAAAAUUAGAGACCCUUUUUUAGUCUCUUUGUUAAUAUGUAAUUAGAAACCAAUUUUUAAGUCACUUUUAAUCUAUUUUAGAGACUAAUUUUUUUUUAUAAAAAUAAUAAAAUUAAAAACUAAUUUUUUAGUUUCUAAUCAUAUUUUUAGUCACUACUAUUUAAAUUUAGAUACUAAUUUUAGAGUAAUUAAAUUUUAUAAAAUUAAUUAUUUUUUUAAUUUUUUUAAUUUGAGCAAAUUGGUUGCAGGGAGGUAAAAUUAAUCUAUCUUUCUCUGUAGCCUUUUCUUCUCAUCUCUCAAUCUCCACAACACACUCUCCAACCGGCAGCAACGACGCAUCCACGAUGGCGACGCUCUCCGACUGCGACUCACCCGCCACAACAAAGCACCCGCGACUGUAACGCAUCCCGCGACAGCAAUGCACGAAGGCAGCGUGUGACGGCAGCGCAUCCCGUGACAGCAACGCGCAACGGCAGCGCACGACGGCAGCACAUUCCACGACAACAACGCACGACGACAACUGAGUAGUAUGCUUCUCCUUGUCUCAUUUCGUGCUCUAUUCUUACUCUGAUUUUUAUUUUUUGUGCUUGCUCUUCCUUAUAGAUUUUAGGUCAUUGCAGUAGAGUAGGAUGUUUUUCCUUGUCUCAAAUUUAACAAUUAUAUUCCAAUGUGGAGUUUCAACAUUUGAUUUUCAAUCUAUAGACUCUUUGAAUGGUCCUCCUACACAUUUUUAUUACCAUUUCAGAAAUCCAAAACUUGGAAAUUCUUUUUAAUCUUCUCAGAUUGCGUAAAUACUUGAUUUAUAACUUCUCAACUAUCAACUGAUAACACAGUUGAUAGUUUUUUUUAAUCUAUGUAUAGAUUCCUUAUAAGAUAAUAGUGUUAGUUUUAUAUCACUUGAUAGUUUUUUUAAUCUAUGUAUAGAAUCAUUAUAAGAUAAUAGUGUUAGUUUUUUUUUUUUGGAAUAGAGUAUUCCCUGCUGUGUGGUAUAAAAUGCAAAUCAAUCCAUUAACUUAUUCACAAAAGUCUCCAUCACUCUUAAAUUUAUGCAUCUUGAACACAUUAAUAAGAUGUGUUCAAGUUUGUAGCUCAACCUUUGGCACUAGGAGCUUUUAGUUCAAAUUCAAAACCAAAUGUUAAUCAAUCAUUCAAAACACCUAAGUUUGCAGCUCAACUUUUGGCACCAGGAGCUUCUAAUUCAAAUUCAAAACCUAAUGUUGAUCAAUCAUUCAAAACAUCUCAGUUUGCAGCUAAUUCAACAUCAAAUGAAAUUAAUUCAACACCAGAUGAAACUAAUUCUACAUCAAAUGAAACUUUUGCUGCAUCAGAGUCACAUGGCAAUUAUGUCAAGUCAGUUUUAAACCUUGAUGGGCAAGGGUAUGUAUAUCAAUGUAAUCAUUACUCUUAAAACAACCAAAUUAAUAAUAAAUUGUGGAAUUAUGAUAAUUUACAUGUCAUUUUGCAGAUUCUUACCUUCACGCCCUAUAGCUAAUGGGAUUGGAAAUAUCUUCAAAAGUCAUUAUACCGAUCCAUGGCUGUUAGUACGAGAAAUUACACCAGCAGAAGGCCCAAGAAACAACCCAAUUGGAUGCAGGAUUUUAUAUUGGGUUAAGACCCAUGCUUUUAUUAUUCUGCCAUUUUAUUUUAGUAUGUGUUCCUUUUUCAUCUGUUGUUUUAUUUUAAGAGUUUUGUAAGGCCCAUGGCCCUUAAACCCUUAUGUAGGGACUUACCAUUAUGAAUGAAGGCAUAAGUUUUUUGUGAUAACCCUAAUUUUAGUAUAGCAGUAGCAAAGGUCUAUCAUUGGUGCUUUCAUUGUUAUGGCUCCUAAACUCUCAUCCAAGGACAUGGAAGAGGUCAUCCACGCCAUUCAAGCUCAAAUCACCCUCCUCACGCACCCUGACAAUCAAAACCCUUCACCUCCCCCUCAAACCAGUCCUCGAUCAUCUCAUUCUCACCCUCAUCAGCAACUACCCUUUUUUGAAGGAACCCAACCCUUGGACUGGCUCUUUCAAGCAGAGCAAUAUUUUUCAUUCUAUCAAAUUCCUAUGGACCAGCAUUUGGCCAUGGUGGGAUUCCACAUGCAGGGAGAUGCUCUCUCCUGGUUUAAAUGGCUGCACAACAAUAACCUCCUCACAGAUUGGCAUUCUUUCACAAGGGCCUUGGAGCUCUGUUUUGGCCCAUCAACAUAUGUCAAUCACCAAGUUGAGUUAUUUAAACUCCAGCAAACCUCCACAGUCACAAAAUACCAAGGCAGGUUUGAAUGUUUAUGCAACUGUGUGGUGGGUCUCACUCCCAAGACUAUACUUAAUUGUUUCAUUUCUGGUUUGAGUAUUGAUAUUCGCAGGGAGUUCACUAUAUUAAAUCCUUAUUCUAUAGCCCAAGCCAUAGGACUAGCCAAGCUUAUUGAAGACAAACUGAGAGAUUCCAAACCUAAACAACACCGUUAUACCCCAACACCUCACCCCACCACCACUAAUUCUUCGUUCACAAAAAGUAGACCUAAUACCCUUACCCCACCAUCAGCUCCAAUACAGAUUAAACGUCUCUCAUCUUCCCAAAUGCAGGAACGACGUGCCCUAGGUCUUUGCUACAAUUGUGAUGACAAGUUCUUUCGGGGCCAUAAGUGUGCUACAUCUCGUUUUUUGCUUCUUUUGGAUGAUCCUGAUACAGUAAUUGAACCCACCGAGCACCCUAUUCCAUCCUCCGAAUACACCACUCCCCUCCAUUUUCACAUUUCCCCUCAAGCCAUCUCUGGUACCAUUUCCCCAAAAACUCUCAAAUUCACCGGUUUAAUCCACAACCUACCGGUGACAGUUCUUAUUGACUCAGGAAGUUCUCAUAACAUACUUCAACCACGUAUUUCCCACCAUAUACAUCUAGCCAUAUCUCCUAGCCCACCGCUAUCGGUUAUGGUGGGAAAUGGGGCUUUCAUCCAGUGUCAAGGAUUGUGCCCAUCAGUGGAUAUCUCACUACAGAACUCCACCUUUACUAUCCCAUUUUACCUUCUUCCCAUUGAAGGAGCAUAUGUUGUCCUAUGCGUAGAUUGGUUAAGCACACUGGGAUCCAUCUAAGCAGAUUUCUCAAUCCCCAACAUUGCUUUCACACAUAACAACCAACAAAUUACCCUCCAAGCUUCCCCCUCACCCACCCCAGCAGCUACCACUUACCACCAAUUUUGUCACUAUUUAUCUAAUAAUUCAAUUGCAUCCUUCCACCUCCUCUCGGUGGAAAACUAGCCCAGCACACUCACAAUCAGGACCAUUGAUCAACCUUUUUUCCCUUUAGACAAUCUGCCCACGCCCAUUCAAUCACUCCUUCAGAAAUAUCACAGUAUCUUUCACAAACCUCACGGGCUAGCCCCCAAAGGCCACAUGACCACCAUAUACCAUUGUUACCUCACACCUCACCCAUCAAGGUCAAACUCUACCGCUACUCACGCCACCACAAGGAAGUCAUCACUACACUCAUUUCUGAAAUGUUGCAAGAGGGUAUUAUCCAACCCAGUACUAGCCCUUUCUCUUCUCCGGUGCUGUUAAUAAAAAAAAAGGAUGGAACAUGGCGAUUCUGUGUUGACUAUAGAGCCCUAAAUGUAGCCACCAUUCGUGACCACUUUCCUAUUCCCACCAUUGAUGAAUUGCUAGAUGAGUUAGGCUCAGCUACUAUUUUUACUAAAAUAGAUCUCCACUAUGGGUAUCACCAAAUACUUCUUGUUCCAAAGGACACUCACAAAACAGCUUUUCGCACUAUUGAUGGUCAUUACAAAUUCCUGGUUAUACCAUUUGGAUUAACUAACACCCCUUCUACUUUUCAGGCAGCAAUGAAUGAUCUUCUCAAACCAUACCUCCGCCGGUUUGUCUUAGUUUUUUUUAUGACAUUUUAAUUUAUAGUCCUAGCUUGCAGGACCACAUGGUUCAUCUGAAAAUUAUAUUGGAAGUGUUACACACUCAAAUUUUGCCAAGCUUUCCAAAUGCAAUUUCGCAACCGCGGAAGUCAGUUAUCUAGGCCACAUAAUUUCAGCUCAAGGGGUCCAACCAGACCCACAAAAGAUCAGUGUCAUACACAAUUGGCCUCAGCCACGAUCACUCACGACAUUAAGGGGUUUCCUCGGCCUCAUUGGAUUUUACAGAAAAUUUAUAAAGCAUUACGCCACACUCGCUGCUCCUCACACCGACUUAUUACAAAACCACAAAUUUACAUGGACAGUGCCAGCGCAACAAGCAUUUGAAAAAUUGAAAUUACAAAUGACAUUAAUGUCUAUCCUACACCUUCCCAAUUUCAAACUCCCAUUUGUGGUAGAAACUGAUGCAUCCGCAGUGGCUGUAGGAGUUGUCCUUAGUCAAACUGGCCACCCUCUCGCCUUCUUCAACAAAAAGAUGAACCCCAAGUUACAAGCUUCCUCUGUAUACGUCCGGGAGAUGUAUGCCAUCACAGAGUCAGUAAAAAAAUGGGGUCAGUAUCUCAUAGGACAACAUUUCACAAUCAUCACGAAUCAAAAAAGCCUCAACACCCUCAUGGCCCAAACCAUACAAACUCCAGAACAACAAAAAUGGACAGCUAAAUUACAGAGAUAUGAUUUCCAAAUAGUUUACCGACCUGGAAAGGACAAUACGGUGGCAGACACUCUUUCAAGAAUGGAUCAGGAGACCACGCACAUCUUAUUGGCCGUCUCGUCCCCGAUACCUCAGCUGAUCCAAGAACUUCAAUUUUUUUAUGACACUGCAAAAGGCAAAGAGGUGAUCCAAGCUUGCACAGGAACUCAACAGCACCCAAGUCUUUUCUCUACCGGCCACGGGUUGCUUUUCUUCCGCCACCAGAUUUUUGUCCCAGCAGUAAAAGAAUUCCGCAAGCGUAUCAUGACUGAGUUUCAUGCUUCUCCUUUUGGUAGCCAUUCCAGUUUUAAACCGACCCUCAAGCGUAUAGCUGCCUCCUUCUACUGACCGAAAUGGACCAGGGACGUCCAUAGCUUCGUCCAACAAUGCUCGGUGUGCCAGAAAAGCAAAUACAUGCCAACAAAAAUUCAAGGUCUCCUUCAACCAUUGCCAAUUCCAGAACAAGUUUGGGAAGAUAUAUCAAUGAAUUUUAUUACUCACCUUCCAACGUCUGCUGGCCACUCCGUUAUUUGGGUCAUCUACGACAGAUUGACAAAGUAUGCCCACUUCCUAACUCUGCCCACACACUUCACCGCCCAACAGCUAGCUUCACGUUUUUCGGUAGAAAUCUGUCGACUCCAUGGACUACCCAAAACUAUCAUCUCCGACCGUGACCCUUUGUUUGUCAACACCUUCUGGCAACACAUGUUCAAGGCACAAGGAACCACGUUGAAAUUUAGUUCGUCAUAUCACCCACAAACUGACGGCCAAACGGAAGUAUUGAACAGAGGGUUAGAAGCAUACCUCAGGAGUUUUGUAGGAAAUCAACCGAACAAAUGGUAUCAGUUCCUUCACUUAGCAGAGUUGUGGCACAACACCACUUACCAUUCGGCUAUAGGGACAUCACCUUUUCGUGCCCUCUAUGGUAGACAACCACCCACCGCAAUAGAUUUUGUGCGCACUCCACAAGAAGGCACCACCAUCCCUAGUGCGUUAGCAGAUCACUUCGCGGUACUACAGGAGAUAAAAGAGCACUUACGUCAUACAAGGCAGCGAAUGUGUGAUCAAGCGAACCAACACCGCACAGAUUGGAGCUUCGAACCAGGCAAUUGGGUGUGGGUUCACCUCCAACCCUAUCGGCAACGAACGAUGGAACGCCGCACACACCAGAAGCUAGGACCGCGUUUCUCAGGUCCAUACAAGGUACUACGCCGCAUUGGAGCAGUAGCGUAUGAGUUACAACUGCCACCAACCACCCGCGUUCACCCUGUUUUUCAUGUGUCGCUGCUAAGGCCUUUCAAAGGAACUACUGGAGAAACUCCUUCAGUUUCCACCACUUCCACAAGCAACUGCCAAACUACACUUAACUCAAUCUCAAAAUCCAGUCAGAAACUCCUGAACACACCGCCCAAAGAGCCCACUAGCAACAAGACACGUGUCCCACUCACGAAGGUUGUGGAGCCCCAUGGCCACAAGCCCCUCACGCACGUGCCCACUCCACCGUUUACGGCCACACUCACUCACAAGCUUUACACGCCUCUUGGCUCAACCAGUAGGGGCACUACACGUGUAAGUGACCGUUCAGCAGCUCCAACUUUUUCAGACCUUGAGCCCAACGCCAAUAAAGUCUUUCUAGAACCUACCCACCCAAACCCUAAUGCAGUUGCGGCACACUCUGCAAACCCUAGCUUAACCGCAACGCCUCCCCAUCAACCCGCUAUCCAAGCCCAAUUACCUCACGCCCAUCCCAAAGGGACAAACGCACCCGCGACGCCUACAACAAACCCUAGCGUGGUCACAACGCCUCCUAGCCAAUCUUAUACCCAAGCCCAUCUUCGUCUGACCCGAUCCAACACAUCACCAUACUCUUCCGAACCUACAUCACAGCUCAAGGCCCAACAUCAGUUCACACCUCCUGCUAAAUUCCCUAUCUCACCCCCCAACGCCCAAGACACGGCCCAACAGACCCCAAGACUGCACUUUGAGAACAAAGUGCCUCCUGAGGCAGACAGUAAUGUUAGUACGAGAAAUUACACCAGUAGAAGGCCCAAGAAACAGCCUAAUUGGAUGCAGGAUUUUAUAUUGGGUUAAGACCCAUGCUUUUAUUAUUCUGCCAUUUUAUUUUAGUAUGUGCUCCUUUUUCAUCUGUUGUUUUAUUUUAAGAGUUUUGUAAGGCUCAUGGCCCUUAAACCCUUAUAUAGGGACUUACCAUUAUGAAUGAAGGCAGAAGUUUUUUGUGAUAACCCUAAUUUUAGUAUAGCAGUAGCAAAGGUCUAUCAAUGGCCAUCUUGGAAGAAGAUACCAAUUAGAACAAGAGACUUGUGGUUUGGAGAGUUUUUGGUUGAUUUCAUAUAAUUAAAUUUGUUUAAUUAUCUAGUUUAAUUUUAUUAUCUAUCUUAGUCUUACAUAUAACUAACUUUGUUUCUUUAUUAAUGCAGAAGAAGUUUUCGAUUUGUCCACCGGAUCAUAGGUGGGCAAGAAAGAAUUUUGAAAUGUGAGGUGCUAUAAUCAUGAAAAAUAAUCUAAAUAAGGCUCGACAGAGAAAGAUUAAGCCAAACUGGAUUGGAGAUAGUACAUGGGAUAUAUUAUGUCAGUAAUGGGCAUCUGAAGAAUUCCAAAAGAAAAGCACGAUCGGGAAAAUAAAUAAAGUCUCUGGAUGUGGAGGUUUUGGAGGGUCUCGUCACACAUGUGGCUCUAUUAGCACAUCUCAGCAUAAAUAUAAUAUGGUAAUUUGUUUUCUAACUAUUUUAUUUUCUCAAUAUAUUAUAUAUAUAUAUAUAUAUAUAUAAUAUGGGAAAUGUGUGAAUUUUAUUUUUUCAGACAAAGAUGAAUGGAAUUCCUCCCACUAUAUUAGAAUUGUUUUGUCGCACGCACCAACGACGUAAGGACAACUCUUGGGUGGAUCAAAAACUAGAACAAGUAAAUGUAAUGAACUAUUACCUUUUAUUUUAGUUGUUUUGUUAUAUUUUUGGUUUUAUCAUUUUCAAUGUUAAAGUUAUUGUUAGUUUAUUGUUGUUGUGUGUUUAAAUACAUAUCUGUCUAGAAACCACUGCCACUGCCACGAGACCAAUUGUUAUCUCUCUAGAAGUUCCCAUCAUAGCAUAUACAAAUUUAAGUACAAAAACAAAGCAGAAAGAGAACAUGAAUAUUGUUGGUUGAGUCACUGUGAGAGUGUGUGUGUAAUAGAAAGAAAGAUAGAAAGAGAGAGAAAGAUGAUCAACGAAUAACAUCCACCUGCCAUGUUGUCCCUUACUCAAGGAAUUUCCAACUUUAAAACCAAUAAGACUGUGAAAUCAAUUAGUAUGCAGCUACAAGAUCUGAUGUGACUUUGAGAACAGAUAAGACUCUAGAUAGACACAUGAAAAUUUGAUGAUUGUAUUCUAAAAUCACCAAUUGAAUUUUGAGGAAAAAUAUAGCACUGUAAAUAAAAAUUGGAGAGAAAGCAAAAAUAUUGUCAUCCAAGAUGCCAAAAAAGUCUUUAGAAAGUCUGAAGUAAACUUUUGUUUUGCAAAUUUCAGCUUCCUUUUCUCAGAUAUAUGCACUAUGAGCAUUUGAACCUCAUGUUAACAUUCAAAUAAGUAGAUGGAAUCUCCAAUUCUUUUAAGUUGAAGUAGCAAAAUCAAUUCAAUAUACCAGUGACUUUUUACAAGCUUAAAAUUAAACUAUGUGAGAGCAUAAACAAAGUUAUUUUUUGAAACACUGCUUGAGAGUGAGUUUUCUUGCUCUGAGUGCAUUAUCUAACAAUCAAUAGAAAGGUAAUUGCAUGAUAGUACCAUAAAAUCAAAAUCUAAACCCACUACAAGUAGUUUUCUAAUAUUGCUGCAAGUUGGGAAAAAAGUUGUGUUUUUUUUCCACAAACAUCUCUUUCAUGCACCAAUUAGUGAAGUAGGAAACAAUUACUGCACAUUUCAACCUUUUAUUUUAAUAGUUAAGUACGUUGGAGUUUGAAAUUGCAUUUGUAUGGCAUCCACUUUAUUUGAAAGUGAAAACUAGGCAACACUGGCAAUUGCUUCUUUGGUGCCAAAGAGAAAGAGGGAAAUUGCUGGCACACACAUAGAUCCUUACCAAAUCAACCUUAGAGUACAUUGUUAUGGUAGGGAUUGCAUUGAAGCUCAUUUGUUCCAUACAAAAGUUCUGUAUUGUAAGAGUAACUUAAAAUCAAUUUUAGUAUCAACUUUAGAAUGUCUUAGAUAUUCAAUAAUGCAUAACACAAGAAAAACAUUCAAGUACCUAAAUUACAAACAUUUUUAUUUUAUUUUUAUAGAGUUUAAUAACCUGAAAGCAAUGACAACUUAUUAAAAAUCUAAUCUGAUUUUCUUAGAAGGAGAAUGUGUUUGUGUGUGAGAGAGAGAAUAAAAGAAAGAUAGUUCAGUGACUGCAGGAUCUACUCCAACAGCAGCAAAACUCCUGAAAAUAGAAUUCACUUGUGAAAAUAAAAUUGAAUAAGGUUCUAUUAGAAAUCUGAUUUCACUAUCAGUCCAUGUCUGAAUAGGUUUCAAGUAAAUUUAUGUUACUGAUUUCACAUGUCCUUUCAGCAUAUUAUAUUCUUAUAUAUUAAAUGUGAAGUACAUGGCUUCAAGCUUUGAGUAUCCUAUAUUACAACAACUUUUUCAGACAAUUUUACCUAAUAAGUAUCCCUAUUAUAUAUAAUACACACACAUUAUAGGAUAGUUACAGGUCAUUGUUAUUGUUUACCUACACAUUAAUGAAAAUUUUCCAACUAAUUUCUUUUUAAUUACUUCUAAUAGACUGAGAAGCAAUCAUUCAUGAAAUAAUAUCUGUUUGUUUUCUUGAUCAAUAUUAUAUUGGUAUGAAUAUUCUAUUGAUGUUAACAAGCAGAAUUUACACGUAAAUUUGAAGACUUAACACAAAGUGCAUCUGCACAAGGAAUUCCCCCUCCAAAUGAGUUAGAUGUUUGGUGUGAUGUAGCUGGAACCAAGAAUGGGAGGAUAUAUGGUCUUGGAAUGGAAUCUACUGUUAUUGGAGGUAGGCCUUACUACCUUGGCUCAUCUUCUUCCUCAAAUGGGUGGAUACAAAGUCAAUAGCUUGAUGAACUUAAAAGAGAUAUGGAAGUAGUUAAGAAAGAAAGAGAUGAGCUUCGAAUCAAAAUUUUAAAUAUUGAGCAACUUUUUGAGAAAAACAAUGCAAUGAUUCGAUAAUGAAUGGAUAGCAUUAAUCAUCAAUCAAUGCCACCAAGUUUUGAGGAAACUCAAGAUAAGGAUGAAACACAACCACCCAGUCAACCACUCAGUCCUUAUCAAGGUAGUUUUGUUACACUAUUCUAUAUAUAUUUUUAAAUUUCAAUCUUGCUAAUAAAUUUUAUUUUAUAUUUUUUGACAGGUAGAUGAUUAUUGUUAUAGCUAGCAUCAAAAGCUCACAUGGUACACCACUGAGCAUUAGCUCUUCAUGGAAUAAAUUUCACACAAAAAAUGAUAGAUUAAGCUUUUUACUUUUCAAACGCCUUGUUUGAAUCAUUUGUAAUAAUUGGCAGCAGCUAUUAGCUUCUACAUUGCAUAGAAUUACUUCUAACAAUAGAAAUAGUUGUUAUAAGUUGUUAAUGACAGCAUAGUUGGUGCUGCAGAAUUAUAAUAUGUGCCACUCUCAUGUGCUUUGAAGUCCUUUUGUUCUGUUUUUUAUGCAGUUUUAUCCCAGCUAUGCCAAUCUUUUUUGCCUCAUUGAGAGGAACUAAAACCAUAGUUGGUAGAUGGUAGAUAAAGUAAGAGUGGGUAUGAUAGUAGGUGCAGUUGUGUAAUUUUUUUAUCUUAGCUGCAGGUUCGGUGGUGUUGAGGAGGAUGGAAGGAAGCAUAUGAAGUGGAGAUUGAAUAGCUAUUUGAAAAGCUAUUUUCACCAAACCUUGUUAUCUAUAUGAUGUACAUACAAUCUUAAAAUAUGUUAAAUGUAUUCAUUUUUAUACUUGAUAAAUAAAUAAAUAAUAAUAAAAUGAAUAAAUAAUAAUAAUAAAAUAAAUAAAUAAUAAAAUUAUAUUUUAUAUUUUAUAUUUUAUAAUAAAAUUAUAUUUUAUAAUAAAUUAUAUUAUUUAGAGACCAAUAUAGUGACCAAUUUUUGGUAUUUAUAUAUUUGGUCACUAAAUGAGUUUCUAUAUAUUUUGGUCACUAAAUUGGUUUAAAUAAAAUUGGUUGUUAAUUUGGUUUUUAUAUAAUUGGUCACUAAAUUAGUUUCUAUAUAUUUGGUCACUAAAUUAGUUUCUACAUAUUUGGUUACUAAAUUAGUUUCUAAACAUUUGGUCACUAAAUUAGUUUCUAUAUAUUUGGUUACUAAAUUAGUUUUUAUUUAAUGUCACUAAAUUGGUUUUUAAAUUAGAAUCUAAAUUGGUAUCAAAAAUUAGCGACCAUUAGUUUUUAAAUUAGUUUCUAAUCAAGUUAGUGACUAAUUUUAUAUUUUAGAAACCAAAAAUUUAGUUUCUAUAACAACUUUUUCUUAUAGUGGUGGUUUAAAUAUACUAUAAAAGAAAAAGUAGACUAACUUGACCUACCUGAAAAUUUUCAUAAAUAUUUAUUUUUCGAUUUAUUUAUCAUACUAUUUUUUUUUAAUGAAAAUUUUCAUGUUAGGCAUCACUAUGCAACUUGACAUCUCAACUAGGCUGACAUCUCAAGUAACAACAAUCAUCUGCCAUCACAUGAAAAAAGUAUUAUUAAAAAAAGGAAAAAGAAAGAAUAUACAAAAAUAUGGGGGACUAGACCAAAACCCACAUGUUAACAAAAACGAUACAUAGGCAGACUAUACCUAUUCAUAAAGAAUUCUAAGAACAGACUAGAUGGAAGUCUAUUAUACCAAUGAAAUGAUUGUCUAUGAACGAACCCUAAAUUAGCCAACUUAUCAGCACAUGCAUUUCCCUCACGAAAAAUAUGAGUAACCCUAAACCUGAUUGUCCUACAGAAAUUAAGACAAGUAUUCCAUCGAUUACGAAGCAUCCACGGAACAGUAGUCCUAGCAGUAAACAUUUAUCAUACUAUUUUGUUACUUGUAAUAUUUUCUAUUCUAUCAUAAUGGAAUAUAAAGACUUAAAAAUAAAAAAACUAGUCACACUUAAUAAUUAUGAUAGUUUUAUAUAUAUAUAUAUAUAUAUAUAUAUAUAUAUAUAACUAGCUAGUCAGCAAAUUUUUUUUUUAAAAUACUCUCAACAGAUACUAUAGACUUAUCCGAUAAAUCAUGUGUAUAACAAAACAUAAUUUUAUAUAAAAUAAAAAACUUUUCAAAUUAGGUAAUUCAUAAAGUAUUUUUUUUAUUAAACAAAAUUUUUUCAAGAUAGUCCUAGGUUAAUUUUCAUAAAAUAAAAAACUUUUAAAAUUGAGAAGUCCAUAAGUAUUUUUCAAUUAAAAAAUAUAAUUCACAUCCAUAAAAAAAAUAAUCUUUCCGACUAAUAUAAUUUUAACUAAACAAUGAAUUAUAUUGCUCUAGAAAAAAUUCUAACAACUUCUAUUAAACAACUCUAAUCACAUCAAUACAAAUAAUUUAUAUUCUACAUUAACCAAAAAGUAAUGAUCUUAAUAAUAUUUCAAUCUUAGUCGAGCUAAUAACACCCAAUUAAAAUCAAAAUAAAAAAAAAUUAAAUGAAGAUCAAAACAUGAAUUUGAGUAUAUGAAAAAUUUAAAUUAACUUUUUCUAAAUUAAAAUCUGAAAUUCUAUAAUUUUAAACAAUCAAAUUAUUCUAAAGAAAUUUUAAAAUUUAAUUUCUUGUUAAAAGUCUUACCCAAACAACAUAUUUUAUCACAAAACAUUUGAAAUUUUCUAAAAAAAAUAAUUGUGUUUUAAAAAUUUCUCGCCGAAACACACUAUUGAUAGCAAGAAAUGGAAUGUUUUGAAAAUGAAAAUUAAAUUUUCUGUAAGUUUUCUUCAGCGUUAAAAUUCUAUGGUUAGGUACUUUCUUUUUCCGAGUUACAAAACUCUGGAUGGAGUCAUCAUUUGUGACUUUUAUAAUUAAUAACAGUGCUGAAUUACAAGACUAAUUGGGCUGGACUCUAGAACAAGCAGUAUUGUUUUCGGCCCAAUUAGUCUAAAUCCUCGUUUUGCACUUUUAUACCCCCUUCCUUUCACUGUCAAUUUUUCUCAAAUUUGAUGCAAACUAACUUCUGUGAUAUAAUUCUUUUAAUAGAUUGUGAAAAAUAUAUUCUUCAAAGUGGUUUUUCUAAAAAAUACAUUUUAAAAGUAAACGGGCAACGCAAAAAAAAAAAACAGAAAGAAAGAAGUUAACAAAAUCAACGUAAAUAGUAUAGGCCUUUUUUAUGUGUAGAUAAUGAAAUCCAUCCUAAUACCCAAUUCCACAGCCACAACGCUAUGAGCUGUCUUGCUUAAAAAUAAAGGAAAACUGACAAACUCUCUUUGCACCUCCAUAAUUUUUACCUGCAUCUUUAUACUUUUUUUUAAUUCUAAGAAUAUUCUUUUAAACUUUUUUUUAAUUCUAAGAAUAUUCUUUUAAGUAUGGUAGAAAGUGUUGUGCAUUCUUUUUCAUUUUCUAGUGAUGAUGGUUAUUUGAGGUGAUUGAUGGUGAAGGUAAGUUUUGUGAUGUUUUUACUUAUAGAGACGAUGUUUUCGUUUACUUAAUUUUUUUUAAAAAUUUUUAAAGACCACAAAACAAAACAAAAAAUACAUAUCAACAAGGUUUAAAAUGGAGUAAAAUAUUAAAAAAAUAAAUAUUUUUUACAAAUAACGUCGAAUACAACAAAUAUUCUCACCACCAACCGUUGGAUUGUUCCUCCGCAUUCAAAAUUUUCAACUUCUCACACCGUGUACAAUCCCUAAGCCCCUGCUUGGAUUGGGGGUUGGCACUGUAGCCGCAGACGGAUGUGGGGUGCCACCCCCGUUUGGAUCCAGUCAUUGUGGAGGGUGUGGGUGAGGGUGAGUUGAAAGUUGGGCCAAAUGAGAGAGCUUUCAGAAGUGAAGAGAAAGGAGAGGGUGAGGGAGUGAGUGCCACAUAGGAUAAGAGAAAAGUCAUGUGUGCCCUUCACUUGAAUGUAUCUGGCCAUGCAUGAGGAAGUAUUUUGUUUGAAGCUUUUCAGCAAAAGCAUGCAUGCACAUCAGCAACAAGCACAUGAGAUUCCUCACCAUUGUUCAGGAAUCUCUUUGACCAAGUUCAAAGCUCAAUGAAUGCAUGGUAAGUUGGUGAGAGAGUGGAUGAGCGUAAUAAAAGCUUCAGCAGCAAUAUAUAUGUCCUAACCAACCUCACAAAGUAGAGACAAUUCACUUGUUCACAAAGCACAAACCUAGAGAGCUUGGAGGGUCGUGAGUAAGGAUAGUGGUAGGAGAGUGCGGUUGGUUCUCGGUUUGUGACCUGAGGUGGGUUUCUGUGAAUUUAGUUUCGUUCUUAACCGAUUAUGAGUGAAAAUGAACGUCUGCUAUAAUCGAUUAUGUGGAAAAAAAUAGUUGAUAAUGGAUUAUGCUCACGACAUAAUCGAUUAUCUGUAAAAAAAAAAAUUGGUGGGAUAAUCGGUUAUGAUGUUUUUUGAACUUGAAGCAUAAUCGUUUAUGUGGUAUAAAUCUGUGAAUAAUCGAUUAUGUGGUAAUUUACACUGAGGUGAUAAUCGAUUAUGUUUCUUAAUUUUCCAGAUUUUUGGAUUUCUAUUUUUUGAACUAAUUUUUUAAUGAUUUUUUUUUUCAGGCACACUUUGAUAAAUCUCAGUUGCAUUGUGUUGUGGUUUUGUUCUGCUUUCUUGAGGUAUGUGUGUUUUUUUUUAAAUUGUGUUUGGAUGUUUAGUUUUAUUUUGAAUUUAAUUUGUUUUAAUUAUUUUAAAGUACUUGUUAAUUAGUUUAUAAUUUUAGAUGUGAAUGUUUAGGAAAAUUGAUUAUCUAAAAUUGUAUAUUAUUAAUGUAAAAUUUUCAUAAAAUUUGAAUAUGUUAUUUUUGUGAUAUAAAUUGAAUUUAUUAUAGAUUGAAAUUAGAGAUCUAUUAUUUUAAAAUGCCUUUAUUAAAAAGAUUAUAAAAAUUGUUGGAGUAAUUUAAAAACGGAAAAACUAAAUAUACAGAAGAUUUUUUUAACAUUUAACAAUGUUAAUAAAUAAACUUAUGAAUGUAUACAUAGUAAUUUUAUUUUUUUAACUUUGAAGCUGUUAAUAAAUAAAUUUUUUAUUUAAAUUUACAUAAUAGAUUAUUUUUUAGAAAUUAUUAUUUUUAGAGAAUGUAAAUAUAACUUUUUAAUGAUUUUUUAAAACAAAUAUUGUAUUAAUAAAAAAAACAGAAAAAGAUUACAUAAUAAAUUAGAAUUUGUAAUAAUAUGUGUACAUAGUUAUUAUUUUUUGAACAUUUAAUUCUUUAUAAAAAAAUAUAUUUAUUUAUUUGAAAUGAUUAUUUUUACUUAAUGGAAAUAGAAACUUUGAAUGCUAUAUUUUAUAAUUUUGGACAUUUUACAUACACAUACCAUAAAAUACAUAUAAUUUAUUUGUCAUAGUUUACAUAAAUUUUUAAUGUUAUUAUGAAACAAUUAAAACAAAUAUUAUAGUAAUUAAAAAGAACAGAAAAAAAUUACAUAAUAAAUUCAAUUUUUUAAUAAUAUAUGUAGAUAUUUAAUAUUUUUUUAACAUUUAAUGCUUUAUAAAAAAACAUUUAUUUAUUUAAAAUUAUUAUUUUUACAGAAUGUAAAUAUAAUUUUUUAAUUUUAUUUUUUAAAACAAAUAUUGUAUUAAUUAAAAAAACAGAAAAAGAUUACAUAAUAAAUUAGAAUUUGUAAUAAUAUGUGUACAUAGUUACUAUUUUUUGAACAUUUAAUUCUUUAUAAAAAAAUAUAUUUAUUUAUUUGAAAUAAUUAUUUUUACAGAAAUAGAAAUUUUGAAUGCUAUGUCAAAUGUAAUAAAUUUAAUAAUAUUAAAAUUAUCUCUCUCAUCAAAUGUAAUGAAUUUAAUAAUAUUAAAAUUAUCAACAAACAAAAAUUUAACUAAUACAAAUUUAUUUAAUUAAUAAAAUUAAAAAUUAAAAAAUCAUAUUUCAUUUCUAUAUUCUAUUUUUUAAUUAAUUUCAAUUUUAUAUUAUUUUUUAAGUUAUAAUUGAAACUUACAAUUAUUUUAAUUAUCAAAAUUAAAUUAGUAAUCAUUUUAUUUUUAUUUUUUUACACACAUGACAAAAGUGUACUUUAUUAUUAUAUAUAACAUAAUAUAAUAGAAAUUAAAUAAUAUAAUACUAAUUAUUUUAAUUAACUUAAAUUUUCUUUAAAUUAAUUAAUAUUUCAUUUUUUAUUUAUUUAUAUAAGGGUAAUUUUGUAAUCUUACCAUUUAUACUAUUCAAAAUAGAUUAAAAUACUCUCACAACUAUCACAUCAUUCGCAUUUUCCAAUAAACUUUCUUCACACACAUCUCUCAAUCCAAACACCAUCAACUUUCUCCACACUUUCUUCACACUUCCACUUACUCACACCCUUAACUUUCCACUCACCCACAACCCCUAAUCCAAACAAAGCAUAAAUUUCUCCUGGUGAUGCUUCUUAUUUGCUUUCAGUGAUGCAUGAGGGAGAGAGGAAGUAGAAAGGGAAAGUUAGAUGGAUUUUAGUGCUUCCCAAGAGAAAGUUAAAGGGAAGAAGAGAAAGUCAAGUAGAUUUCUCUAAAUUACAUUUUUACCCUUAAUAUAUAUAAUAAAAAAUAAUUAAAAUUAUUUAAUUUUUUUAAUAUUUUUAAAUAAACUGUACAUAGCCAAAUAAAUAAUAAUAAUAAUAAUGUAAAGUCUUAUUAAUACUAAUAAUAUAAAUAUUAAAAUAAUAAUAAUAUUUAAAAUUAAUUUAUAAAAUAAUAAUAAUAAAUGAAAAUCAAAUAAUUUUAAUAAAGAAUAAUAAUAAUAUUAUUAAUUAUUUUUAUUUUAUUUUAUUUUAUUUAUAUUAAAUAUUAAAAAUUUUAUUAAUAAUAAAAUAUAUAUAUAUAUAUAUAAUUAUUUAUAAAAAAAUAAAUUUAUAUAAUAAUAAAUAAUAUUAAUCAUCUAAAAUACUUAAUUAAUUUUUUAUAUAUUAAAUGAAUUUAUAAUUUUUUUAUUUUUUCAAUCACACUCAUCAUGUUAUUUAUAAAUUUUUUAUGAAAAAAAUAUAAAGAACUUGUAUUUUUUAUAUUUCAUAUUUUAUUAUUUAAAUAUUUUAAAAAUAAGGAUAAAUUUGUAAAUUUACAUUUUUACACAUUAAAAAAAAUAACAUUUUAUCACAACCAUCUCAUCCAUCCAUAAACUUCAACAAACUUUUCUCAUACAUUCACUCUAAUAUACCUCAAUCUAAACAUUCUCAACUUUCUUCACACUUUCUUCAAACUUUCACUCUCCACACCCUCAACUUUCCACUCCCCCACCCCCUAUAAUUCAAACAAAACCUUAGAGUCCAACUUUCUCCAAAAUUUUCAAAUGUUACGUGAGUUACAAAACUGCCUCCUCACGUCACCGUACUGGACAGUUACGAAAACUGCUCUUGCGACGUCAGCCUGAUCACGUUUGCGGCGUCAAAAUGUGUAAUAGUCACAGUGGGUCAGAGAACAUAAUCAUACUUGGAAUGGAAUCUUCUUUAGAAUGGAAUAGUUUUUAAUUUGACCACGUGGCUUACAUCACAAAUAGUACCUACCAACUUGAAAUUUAAAUUAAAACAUUUGUUUUCUUAAGUAUGAUUUUUCUAGAACCGGUCUUACAUUUUCUUUUCUUUUUUCAGAUUGAAUAGAUUAUUAUCGAACCGAACAACUAUUUUUAAGAUUACUCAGAUAAAUAAGUUGUCUGAUGUUGAUACAAUUUUAUCUUAAAAGAAGUUUAUUAUUUGAUACAAUUUUAUCGUAAAUUGUUUUUAUUAUUUUGAUAUAAUUUUAAAAUUAUGAAAGUAAAGUCGUGGUAUAUUAGACUAUUUUAGUAUAACAUUAAUUAUUUUAUUUUAAAUAAAGUUAAAAUUAAAUUACAUUAAAAAAAAUUUGUAGUAGUAAUUAAAGUUGUAUAGAUUAUGUCAAAUUGAUAUAAUUUUAUUUAAAAAUAUUAAUUAACAUUAAUUAAAGUUAUUUUAAGAUUAGUUUAAUACUAAAAUCACGUUAAUACUAUAUUACUUUAUUUUAUUUUUAAAUCAAAGUUUUCUGAAGGUAAUAUAACAUUUUUACUAUGAAGUGAACAUAGUGGUCCAGAUCCACAAAGUUUUACCUUGUAACAUACUCAUAAUAAUAUACAUUGAUUGCAUGUAAUGUGACAAAAUACUAUCAUCAAAAGAAUUACAAAACUUACAAAAUUAAAAGAAGUAUUUAAAAAAAAUGAUGAUAUGGAUUACGAAAUUCAAAAUCAUUUAUUCAAAAGGGUUUGUGUGCACUCAUUUUUAGGGUUUAGGAUUUCCUUUUGCAGGGUUGUCAUUUUGAACACCACCACAAACCCAUCUUAGUUAAAUAUAAGUUAUAUAUAGUCAAUUCUACUCCAAGCAAAUUUAACCAACCAUAUUUUAGGGUGUUCCUUGUUUAAACGGUCUUAUCAAGAAGGUAAAACCCUAUACAAGGGCUACCACUUAUGUAAACAUGUGAGUUUUGUGUUGUUUUUAGGAAAGAUGUUGCAUGAGGUGUGUGUAAAUUGACCUAUAGAAAUAAGAGGUGACCUAUAGAUUCUGCAUACUGAUCAAAUUUUUGAAAAUAUGAGGUUAUUGUUGUUCUUCGGUAGGGUGAUGCAUGAGGUGUAUGUAAAGUGACAUCAGUGGAGGAAACCGAGGAAAAAUUCUCUAAUCUCAGUAUCAAUGUAGGUAGUCACAGUAAGUGGUGACUUGUUAUCAACUCUCUGCACAAUGAACAAAUUCCCAACAUUUUGAGCUUAUUGUUGUUGUUUGGUGGGGUGGUGCAUGAGGUAUGUGUGAAGUGACCCCAGUGGAGGACACCAAGGUGAAUUUCUCUAAUGUCAUUGUUAUCGGUGUACAAUUAUCACGGUGGACCAGUCGAACAUGUAGUUGUGUACAAUAUUUAUAAUUUAUGUUCUAGGUUUGAUAAUUUUAUUUGUUAGUGGGUCUAUGUUACAUUGUUCAAAAUGUUUAAAGUAAUCAAUUUUUCAUUUUUCAUGUGAUAAAUAAAUUUCACAUGUGAUAAACAAACUUUGUUCACCUUAUUUAUCAUCCUCUCUGAACACUGUGCAAAAACUUACACAGGUCACAACAUCCUAAAUCAUUUUUGUGAAUGACCAACACAUUAACAUCAGUCAUACUCAAGUCCAAUUGGUCACUAGUUCAAUAAAUAAAAUCAUUCAUACUAAAAUUAAUCACAAUCUGCAUUUAAGCAUACAAAAAAAUAUUUUGAAUAAAAUUAUAACAAUAUUAUCAAAAGAGUUCAAUUCAAAAGUAUACUUACGAUAAAUAUUUAUUUUAUUUAAUGACAUAUUUAAUUAGACUAAUUUGAGAUUGUAAGAAUAUGAAGAUAGAUAAAUAAAUAACACUUGUUAAAUUGAAAGAAUAUUAUUAUUAAUAUUCACAUUAUUAUUAGUAUUAUAAUUAUUACUAAUUAUGAUUAUUAUUAUUAUUAUUAUUAUUAUUAUUAUUAUUACUAUUAAUAAUAAGAAGAAAUCAAAAUAAAACACAAACUUAAGCUAGAAGAAAAAACAAACCACUUCAUAAAAAUAAAUUUUACAACUAUUGAAAAAAAAAAUCUGACAAAAGAAAAAAAAAUCUAAAAUAAAAAUUGCAAACAAAGAAUUAUAAAAAAAAGACGUAAAUCUUAAAAUAAUAAUAUAUUUUGCCAGAUCAUUACGAGUUGUAUACCGGCGGUGCAUAUAUAAUAUGAUUGUCCAUAUAUUCUUAUCAUAUUUACAUUCUCUUUCUUCCAUUUAGGUAGGCUUUGACCGGUUUCAGGUUUUCAUAGUAUAUUAUAUCCAUUGGUUCACUUGUCCCUGUUUAAUCAUUCCUCAAUCCCCAUAUCUACUUUCUUAUCUUUUCUAAUCUACUUCCUUCUCUCACCACAAAUUCUCACCUCAGUCCAAACAGAGUAUAAAUGCGUGAAAGAAGAUUUAGAAAGUAUAAAUCUCAAAAUCGCGUUCCCUUUUCUAUCAAAAAGCUCUCUUCUUCUGUUAAUUUUUCAGUUUUUGAUAUAUGUCAAACCAGCGGAUGUAAAGUGGUGAAUUCAUUCAACAAUCAGGGCAAAGGCACUCAGGACUUCACUGAUGCCAAAAUCAUACUUAUUGGAGGCUGUUGCUGUUGCUGUACCUCGUUUGUUUUUUCUUUCUUUCUUAGUUUGUUUCUUUUUUUUCUGUUUUUGGUCUUUCUCGGGUACUGGUUCUCCCAAUCAGACGUCGACGAAUUCCUCUUCACUUCUAAAUCACCAGACGCCAACAAGGGUUUUAGAUUCUCCAUAAUCAUUUACCAUUGUUGACGACAAAGACAUUAAUGGAAGCUUCUUCCACCACCGGAUCCAAUUCUGAUGACGUCUUUGUAUCUUCUCCUUUUGGGUGUCAACUAUUUUUCCAAUUAAAGUUUUGAUUGCACUCUCCUCAGACUAUGUGGAGCUUUUAUGUGCCAAUUGAAGUUUGAUCCACAAGUAACCAGGAAUUCAGUUGUUAAUGCUAACUACAUCAAGUUAUUUACCUGUAAGUACUUUCUUUCACCUUAGACUCUUUAAUCUCUUAUCUUGAUAAAGUUAUCUUUCUUGUGAGACUAUUUUAGUGUACCAGAAUCGUAACCAAGUAGCUAGAGGGCCUACAGUUCUUGUUUAUGGGCUAUUCUCUGUUUUAAUAUAUACUUGAAAACCAGUUAUGUAUUUCGGCAUUAUGCUUGAGUGGUUUGGGAUGUGAUAUGGUUGUUUCCUUAUGAUUUUUUUCCCCAUUCCCGUGGUAAUGGUCAAGAUAGUUCUGUUUUCCCCUGUAUUUGCUGUUUUCCCCUGUAUUUUUAAGUAUUGUGAAUUUCGACAAGGGAAAACAAAACUGUCUCGUGGCAGCACAAGAUGAAUCUAAAAAUUUAAUUUUGCUUUAAAUAAAAUUUAUUCUUAAAUACCUCGUGAUGCAGAAAAUGAAUGGACUUAGUUUCUAGAUGUGUUCACGUUUAACAUCAAAAUAUUCACAGAUAGCUUUGAGAUCUAUUUUUUCCUAAUUUAAUACUUUAUCUCACCUGAUUUUGUUACUCUAAAUGGUUAAAAUAUGAUAAAUUGGUAAUAUAUUUUAAAAAUGUUUUUAGUGAUUGUUCCAACUAAGAAAUGUGAGGGCCUUCAUUCAUUUAUUUAUUUAUUUUGGUUUUGAAAGUCGUAUUUAUGACUUUUUUUACUUUGUAAUUCCUUUGCUAAAGGUUUAAGAUCCUGAUUUUUUUUCUAUAUUAUUUUCCAUGUCUAUUGAUUUAUUUUUUCUAUUAUUUUGUUGGUUUUAUUAAUUUUAUCUUAAUUUAAUGAUAUAGGAUCAUGAUUCUUGAAUUAGGGUUUAUUGAUUUACUUUUAAAUUUGUUUCCAUAUUAUUAUUUAACAUAUUUAUCACUACUUGAUUAGGAUAGAACUUGAUCCACCAAAUAUUUUCAUUCUGUAAUACAUUGUCAUGAUAGAUUGGAUUCCUACUUAUAAGUACAGAGUCUUCUAGUCUUAAACCAGAAGAUUAUUAGGAUUGAUCAGAACUUUAAUACAAUAAUAUAAAAAAAAAUAUUAUUUUUAGCAUUUUUGAAUUCCCUCUAUAUGUUCAUGUAUUGUCUGCAUCAAGUACUCACUUACUAAUUGUUUUAUAUUUUAAAUUUGAUGUUUCAGGAAGCCAAAGUAUUGGACCAAGUGCCAUAACAAACUCAUUCAACAACGAGAGUGAAGGCACACGAGAUUUCUUCAAUGCAAGAAUCAAAAUUGAAAGGUGUAGCUGUGCCUCAGCUAGUAGAGUCAGAGUCAGACUGAUAGCAAACUAAUUCAACAACAAGGGCAAUGGCAUUCAGAACUUUAGCAAUGCCACAAUCAUAAUCAUGGCCAACUGUUGUGGCUCACUUGGUUUGCAGGGUAUCAUAUUUUACUGCGUCUUCCUUAGAGUUCUUGUUGCAGUACUGCUUAUCCCAACUAGGGAUCAACAUCUCCAUCUAAGAAUAUUGGAUUCAACUCGAUCCAAGGUCUGUCAAUUCUCCUUCAAGGGGGCACUCCACUCGCCAAUAACAUUCAUUUAUGAUUCUCCAUAAUCUUCUCACCUACCAUGUCUAUGUCUUCUACCACCAGAUCCAAUUUUCGUCACAGCUUUGUAUGUUCCUCUUUCACUCAACCUGUUCAUUUGUAUUAAAAUUUUCUAUUUAAAAUAUAUAUGAACAUGCAUGCUCUUGUUCUUGUGCUCAACACUAGAGUUAAAAAUAUUCCAAGAGAAUCUCCAAGUACUAAAGAUCUACAUUGAGGAAUAUAAAAAGGAAGAAAAGUAUUAAACUAAGAAUGAAGAGUUGAUGCAAUUUUAUUCGUAUAUAAAUUACAUUAGAAAGUUUGCGACAGUUUUAUCCUAACAAAAUAUUUCUCUUACUUAUUGUCAAUAUAUAAGACCUGAGGUAACUAAACUAAAAGUGUGCUUUUAUCUUAUUGUAUGAUUCUCAACAUUUGUGAGAAUUCCAACUUUAUGUCAAUUUAUGCAUGAAUGAAGGACAAAAUUCCCAACAUUUGUGAGGAUUCCAACCGUAGGGAUAUCGUGUGCGGAAGCGUAAUAAUUUCAACCAAAGAUUAUGAGAAAUUAAAGUAACAAGUAAGUGAUAAUGAUACCAGAAUUUUUAGGUGGAAAACCCCUUUAAAUAGAGGUAAAAAACCACCGACGAGAGAGCCAAAAUUUCCACUAUAAUGGUACUGGAAGUACAAUGAAUUCCUCUCAAGCUAAUGAUAAAUAGUCCCAAAACAAAAUUCUCACUAUAUGGGUUAAACACUUACACCCAAGAGCAGAAAUAGAGAGCAUAAGGAAAAGAGAGAGGAAGCAAGUGUGUGUUGUUGUUUGCUGUGUGUUACAUUGCUUAAAGGAAGCCACUAUAUAUAGUGAUUCUAGGAGACAACAAUAAUAAAUACAAUUAAUGGUAAUUAACUUCCCAUUGAUUGCACUUGAUUGUGACAAUUAACCUCCCAUUAAUUGCAAUUGAUUGCGGCAAUUAACCUCCCUUUAAUAACAAUUAAUUGUCAACGGUAAGUAACCUCUCAUUUAUGCCAAGAUAACGGUAAAGGUGAGUCAUAACCCACAAAUCUCCACCUUGACUUGCCUUUGACUGGAACACUCUUUCGCCAUGAAGUCUUGAUUAAGUAUGGAUAAUACUAGCUAAGUUCAGGCAAUGAUCGAACUUAGCCGAUGGAAGUGGCUUGGUCAACAUGUCUGCAAGAUUUUCUGUCGUAUGAAUUUUUUCAACAAUUAUAUCUCCUGUAUCAACAAUGUCUCGGAUAAAAUGGUGUUUAAUUACAAUGUGCUUGGUCCUUGAGUGAUACUUACUUUUCCUGGUCAAGUGGACAACACUCUGACUAUCACAAAAUAUAACAAGAACAUCUUGUUGAAGACCAAGUUCACUUACCAAGCCUCGAAGCCAUAUAGCCUUUUUCAUACCUUCUGUAGCAGCAAUAUAUUCUGCUUCAGUGGUGGACAAAACCGCAAUGGCUUGAAGUGAAGAAUACCAGCUGAUAGCAGACCCACAUAGGGUAAAGAUGUAAGCUGAAAGUGACCUUCUCCGAUCUAAAUCACCACCAUAGUCAGCAUCAACAUAGCCAACUGCUCCCCCGGGAUCGGCUCUAUGUUGAUCAAAUACCAAACCAAGAUCUGGAGAACCUUUCAGAUAACGAAGUAUCCAUUUAACGGCUUCCCAGUGUGCCUUGCCUGGAUUAUGCAUGAACCUGGUAACAAUGCUAACAGCAUAAGCUAAAUCAGGUCUAGUACAUACCAUUGCAUACAUGAGACUUCCAAUUGGAUUUGAAUACGGGACAUGUGACAUGCGUCUUUUGUCCUCGUCUGAUUUUGGACAUUGAUCUGAUGACAACUUGAAGUGGGCGGCAAUUGGAGUAUUAACAACUUUGCAAUCUCGCAUUCCAAAUUUGUCAAGCAUCUUAAGAACAUACUUCUUUUGUGAUAGAAAAAGUUUUCCAACUUGACGAUCUCUGUUGAUCUCCAUUCCCAAAAUUUUCUUGGCAGGACCUAAGUCCUUCAUAUCAAAUUCACUGCUAAGUUGGGCCUUUAACUUGUUAACUAAAAAUUUAUCUCUUGCAGCAAUCAACAUGUCAUCAACAUAUAACAACAAGUAUAUAAAUGACCCAUCAUAUGUCUUUUGAAAAUAGACACAAUUAUCAUAGCUACUUCUGGAGUAGCCAUGUCCAACCAUGAAAGAAUCAAACCUCUUAUACCAUUGUCUUGGUGAUUGCUUCAAGCCGUAGAGAGAUUUCUUCAGACGACAUACAUGGUCCUCCUUUCCAGGAACAACGAAGCCCUCAGGCUGCUGGAUGUAAAUCUCUUCCUCAAGAUUACCAUGAAGAAAAGCAGUUUUCACAUCUAACUGUUCCAGUUCCAAAUCAUACAAGGNNNNNNNNNNNNNNNNNNNNNNNNNNNNNNNNNNNNNNNNNNNNNNNNNNNNNNNNNNNNNNNNNNNNNNNNNNNNNNNNNNNNNNNNNNNNNNNNNNNNNNNNNNNNNNNNNNNNNNNNNNNNNNNNNNNNNNNNNNNNNNNNNNNNNNNNNNNNNGAUCCACUUGCAACUAAUGACUCGUUUUCCUUCUGGUAACUUCACCAAUUCCCAUGUUUCGUUUUUUAGAAGACUCUCAACUUCUUCUUGCAUAGCAGCAAUCCACUUUGUUGAGUCAUCACCAGAGAUAACUUCAGAGUAAUUCUUGGGUUCACCUUCUUCACCCAUCUCUUGUGCAAUAGUUAAAGCAUAAGCAAUGUUGGCAGAUUCUGCAAUUAAUCUUUGAGUCGGUUUUCUUGGUCUCUGUUGUGGAAGUUCUUGAGCCAUAAACCACGAUUGUGGUAAUCCUCGUCGUUUAGGUGGACAUUGCUCAUUUGGACUCAAAUGUUCACUUGUACCAUCAAUAGUAGUGACUUGACCAUCUUGAGUACUGGAGGAAUUGGAAACGUCUUCCUCAUGAGCGGGUGUUUUAAUCUCAAACUCCACCUUCUCUCGAGCAUCUUCCUGGUCACCUAUAUCAAUUGAGGAAAUGACAGUAUCUUUUACAGAAGAGAGCAUAGCAUUUUCAUUAAAGGUCACAUUCCGACUGUGAAUUAUUUUGUGAGAUUCUGGGUCAUAUAAACGAUAGCCUUUAACCCCUAAGCCAUAACCCAAGAAAAUGCACUUCUUAGCACGAGGUUCUAAUUUUCCAUCGUUUACAUGAGAAUAAGCAGGGCAACCAAAUAUUUUAAGCUUAGAAUAAUCAACAGGGUUACCUGACCAAACUUCUUCUGGAAUGUUGCAAUCAAUUGAUCUGUUAGGAGAGCGGUUUAUCAGAUAACAUGUCGUUGAAGCCGCUUCAGCCCAAAAAGAUUUGCUCAAACCAGAAUGGGAGAACAUGCAACGAACUCUCUCCAGGAUAGUUCUAUUCAUUCUUUCUGCAACCCUGUUCUGAUGUGGAGUACUUGGGAUGGUGAAGAGUCUGGAAAUGCCUUCCUUCUUGCAGAAAUCAUUGAAUUCAUUCGAACAGAACUCAAGGCCAUUGUCUGUCCUUAACCUCUUUAUCUUCUUGCCAGUCUGAUUCUCAAUCAAUAAUUUCCACUCUUUAAAAGUGGAAAAUGCUUCAUUCUUAUGUUUGAGAAAAUACACCCACAGUUUUCGUGAGAAGUCAUCAAUAAUUGUCAUCAUAUAACGACAUUUACCUCUGGAGGGAACUUUUGACAGACCCCAAAGAUCCGAAUGAAUAUAAUCCAAAGUACCUUUGGUUCUGUGUAUGGCUUUAGAAAAACUAACAUUUUUCUGCUUACCAAAAAUGCAAUGUUCACAAAAAUCAACCUUUCCAGUACAGUGGUUAUCAAGGUGACCCUUCUUCUUGAGGAUUAGAAUUCCCUUCUCACUCAUGUGGCCUAAUCUCAUAUGCCACAACUUGGUGUUAUCUUUGUUGGGUGAGGCAACAGCUGCAGAACCUGUAACAGUUGAACCCUGCAGCACAUACAAACUAUCACAUCGAAUUGCCUUUAGUAACACAAGAGCUCCUUUAGACACUUUUAGAACUCCACCUUCAGCUGAGUAUCUACACCCAUGAGAUUCAAGGGUGCCUAAGGAAAUGAGAUUCCGUUUCAACUCAGGGACAUAUCUGACACCUGUUAAAGUUCUAACAAUUCCAUCAUGUGUCUUGAUUUUGAUUGUUCCUUCACCAACAACUUUGCAUUGAGCAUCGUUUCCCAUCAAAACAAGACCAUUAUAAACUGGUGCAUAUGUGGUAAACCAAUCUCUAUUAUGAGACAUGUGAAAAGUACAACCAGAAUCAAGAAUCCAUUCAUUUUUAGACCUUUGUUCAGUGUUGGAAGCUACAAAACAAUCGCCAUCAGAUUCGGUUUCAACAAUACUAGCUUCAGCAGAUUUUUCUGGUUGUUUACCAUUUCCCUUAUCUUCUCUAUCUUGCUUAUUUUUCAAUUUAUAGCAUUCAGAGAUCUCGUGUCCCUUUUUCUUGCAAUAACAACAAUAUUUGGAGUUCUUGCCUCUAGAUUUUGACCUAGAUUUAUACUUAUUGUUCCUACCGUUCUUUUGGUUUCUCCUUCUAACUACUAAACCUUCACCAGAACUUUCAGAAUGAAAGUGAGUAUCAAAUUUUUCUUUGGCUAGUAAAUUAGUCUUGACAUCAUCAAAGCUUAAGGUAAUAUAAUUACCGUAUAACAUAAUUUCUUUGAAUUGUCAAUGCGAGGGUGGUAGAGAAACAAUAAGCAGAACGACUUUAUCCUCAUCAUCAAUUUUAACAUCCAAAUUUUCCAAAUCAAUUAUGAUGGAAUUAAAUUCAUCAAGGUGAGAUUGGAUGGGAGUACCUACGGACAUUCGAAGUGUAAAAAAUCGCUCCUUUAACCGGAGUUUGUUUGCAAGACUUUUGGUCAUGUAUAGAGACUCCAAUUUACUCCAUAUGUCUGCUGUAGUUUUCUCGUUGAUGACCUCACGCAACACCUCACGGGACAAACAUAACUGGAUUACAGACAAUGCCUUUUCAUCCAUCUCAUCCCACUACUCCUCCGUCAUAGUGGUUGGUCUCAUCAUUUUACCUGCCAGAACUUUCUUUAAACCAUUCUGGGUGAUUUUACCAUCAAAUUUCUCAAUAUCCAAUUUCGACAUUAUUGAACAAUAGAUCAUGGUUGAGUUGUCGAAAAGCUCUGAUGCCAAUUUGUAGGGAUAUCGUGUGCGGAAGCGUAAUAAUUUCAACCAAAGAUUAUAAGAAAUUAAAGUAACAAGUAAAGUGAGAAUGAUACCAUAAUUUUUAGGUGGAAAAUCCCUUUAAAUAGAGGUAAAACACCACCGGCGAAAAAGCCAAAACUUCCACUAUAAUGGUACUGGGAGUACAAUGAAUUCCUUUCAAGCUAAUGAUAAAUAGCCCCAAAACAAAAUUCUCACUAUAUGGGUUAAACACUAACACUUACACCCAAGAGCAGAAAUAGAGAGUAUAAGGAAAAGAGUGAGGAAACAAGUGUGUGUUGUUGUUUGCUGUGUGUUACAUGCUUGAAGGAAACCACUAUAUAUAGUGGUUCUAGGAGACAACAAUAAUAAAUACAAUUAAUGGUAAUUAACCUCUCAUUGAUUGCAAUUGAUUGUGGCAAUUAACCUCCCAUUAAUUGCAAUUGAUUGCGACAAUUAACCUCCCUUUAAUAACAAUUAAUUGUCAACGGUAAGUAACCUCUCAUUUAUGCAUGAUAUAAAUGAAUGACAAAAGUUUGAGUAAAAAGUUUCUUUAUAUAUGUGUUUUAUAUAUGUGGGUCCUGGUUUGAUUAUUGAUAUCUAGGAGAUACUUUCUAAAAUAUCUAACUAGAAUAUUCUGAAGAGUUUCGUAGUUUUUUUUUUAUGAUGAAAGGUGUAUUUUAUAGGUUGUGGAUGUUUUUCUUUUUUACUCUCAGAUCCUAAACAAUACCAUCUAUUCUUUAAGGUUAAGUUUGUAUUAUCCUUAAUAAAUUUCAAAUACGGAGUUAUUCCAUACUCUCUUUCUUCUUCUUAAGACUCUGUUAGUUUUAUUAUAUUUGUAUAUUAAUGAUUAGUAUAUCAUAAGUGAGGUAAUAUGGAAAAUGCUUUCUCUACCAAAUUGUUAUCUUCAACUAACUUUUGACCUAAAUGCAAUUUCAAGGUAUAUGUAUUGUAGUUUAUCCACCUCUGAAAGGUUCUUAAUACAUGUCUUUUGAGACCUGAUGUUGGGUUUCGGUAAUUGAGUCAGCAAAUGGGCUUAAUCCAUUAAAUUGUGCCCAAAUCCUUCAUACAUGGUUUUGAACAUUUUGUUUGGUAUAUUUGGGAUUAACUUUAACUCCUUAUGAUUUAAGAACAGGUUAUUCUAGUAACAUGACAUUUUAUAUAAUACAUGCUAAAAUAUUAUUAUAAAGAUUCAGUGAAAUUUUUGAAGUUUGUGUACACGUUGAAGGCAUUGUCCUGACUAACUAAUGGUUUUAUAUUUGAUGUCUUACAGGAAGCCGAAUUAUUGAACGCGGUGUCGUAAACUCAUUCAACAACGAAAUGGGUUACAGGACUUCAGCAAUUCAACAAUCAUCGUUGGAAGCUAUAGUUGUACCUCAACUUGUGUGGAACUGAAGACUCAUCAAACUAGUUUGAUUAAACAAAACAUUGAAACUUGAUAGAGGCAUGUUAAACCUUUGAGAUGAGGCCAUAAUGUUUUCAAACAGUUAUAGACUGAAGAACCCUUUGGAAAACAAAGUAGCCAUUAGCCAAUAGGGUUGAAGAAAGCUCAAUUUUUGAAAAUCUUUCAUUCAUGCUGAUUGUUGAUUGUGUUUAGGCACUUUUAGAUGAAUUUGAUAGUUGAGUGGUUCCCAUAAGCAGAUCCAAUUUGUAUUUUGAUUAUUUAAAUGCACACCAAUCUUCUUUCACAUAUAUUCAAAUUAAUUUAUGAUGUACCACAUGUUUACCAGGCACAAUGGUUCUUUCUUACAUAGGUAGGCACAUGUUUGGCUUCCUUCAAAUCAACACUCCUUGUUUCUAUUUUUUUUAAUUAAAUA